rnacentral:lncRNA from 1 species
UUGGUCCUGAAAUCAUUUUCCAUCUCAUUCUUCUUCAUUCCUUCUUCUUUUGUUCUUCAUCUUCUUACCCUCGCAUAUCUUCUCUUCUCAGGCUGCUGUUUCGUUUGCUCUCUUCUUUCUCAGGAAAAUCGAGGUUCCACUUCGCUGGGUCUUUCUCAGGGAAACGAGAAACCCCAAGUUCCAUGAGUAGCGAAUCCCUCCACCGUCGCUGUAAAUUGAAACCCCAAUCUCUACCCUUCCUCUUUUGUCACAUACAAGAAAUCUAAGUCUGUCUGUACAAUCCCUCACCACACCAUUAUUAUAUCCCCUCUGCAAAUCUUUUGUUUUAUUAGACCAAAUAGAUCGCAAAGGAGUUAAGAAAUGGGGGCUGGGCGAGAAGUAGCAAUAUCACUUGAUGGAGUGAGAGGCAAGAACGUGAUGCAGCUGAAGAAGCUCAACACAGCUCUCUUCCCUGUUCGUUACAACGAUAAGUACUACGCCGAUGCUCUCGCUUCUGGCGAAUUCACCAAGCUUGGUUUGCUCCGUUUUUCCUAAUCUUUUUCUGGGUUUUCAUUUUUUUUUUAAAGUUGUUGAACUCUUUUUGGUUGGUCCAAUGUUGUUUGGCAUUUUCUUUGCACUGGUUUUUUUUUUCUUUUGUGUUCUUUAGUAUAUGCCAUCUAUUGGGAAUUUUAUUGUUGUUCUCUUUCCCUCUGCGUAUGUAGUUAGUAUCCUAUUAUGGGAAUUUAUUUUGUUGGUUUUGAUUUCUGCUUUUGAUUUUGGCUUUUUGGUUCUUUGAGUCAGAAGAUUGAUGGCCUUUUAUGGGCUAGUUUGAUUUAUAUUGGCAUUUGAUUAUACAUGAUUGGAAAAUGGUUUAAUAUGUAUAGAUUCUUCAAGACUAGAAACUUUAUCCUUGAUGUUUCAAGUUACUGAAUGAUGAACUUGGCUGUCUUGAAACUACAACCUACACAUGAGUGACCUUCGAUACCGUUAACAUGUUUUCGGUUAUCAGUUUAGUGUCUUCUCAUGUGAUCAUUGGUAGAAGCAAUUCCUUGNNNNNNNNNNNNNNNNNNNNNNNNNNNNNNNNNNNNNNNNNNNNNNNNNNNNNNNNNNNNNNNNNNNNNNNNNNNNNNNNNNNNNNNNNNNNNNNNNNNNNNNNNNNNNNNNNNNNNNNNNNNNNNNNNNNNNNNNNNNNNNNNNNNNNNNNNNNNNNNNNNNNNNNNNNNNNNNNNNNNNNNNNNNNNNNNNNNNNNNNNNNNNNNNNNNNNNNNNNNNNNNNNNNNNNNNNNNNNNNNNNNNNNNNNNNNNNNNNNNNNNNNNNNNNNNNNNNNNNNNNNNNNNNNNNNNNNNNNNNNNNNNNNNNNNNNNNNNNNNNNNNNNNNNNNNNNNNNNNNNNNNNNNNNNNNNNNNNNNNNNNNNNNNNNNNNNNNNNNNNNNNNNNNNNNNNNNNNNNNNNNNNNNNNNNNNNNNNNNNNNNNNNNNNNNNNNNNNNNNNNNNNNNNNNNNNNNNNNNNNNNNNNNNNNNNNNNNNNNNNNNNNNNNNNNNNNNNNNNNNGGAGUUUGUCCCAAUGUGCUCUAUGGAGAUUUGACCAUUUUGCACUCUUUCUUUUACAACUAGAAAUUUUAUGUCAAUAUGCUUUGACUUAGAUGAACUCCUGUUGUUAUUGGAAUACAGCACUGCUGACUUAUUGUCACAAAAUAAUUUGAGUGGUCUUUUUACAUUCUCCAAAAUGCACAGCCUUAUGACAAAGUUCCGCAACCAUAUUUCAUGGUUUGAUGCCUCAUAGCAUGCUACAAACUCUGCUGCCAUAGUGGACAAAGCUACAAGUGUCUGUUUGACACUUUUCCAAGAUAUAGCUCCUCCGGCUAACAGGUAAAUAUAGCCUGAUGUAGAUUUCCUACUAUCUUGGCAUCCAGCGAAAUCAGAAUCAGAAUACCCUAUGACCUCCAAAAGAUUUGAUCUCUUACAAGUAAUCAUGUAAUCUUUUGUUCUCUGAAGAUAUCUCAUAAUCCUUUUGGCUGCUAUCCAAUGGUCUAUACCAGGGUUGCUUAAAUAUCUUCCUAACAUCCUAACAAUGUACGCAAUGUCCGGACGCUUACAUACUUGAGCAUACAUUAAACUCCCAACAGCUGAUGCAUAGGGAAUCUUUUGCAUUUCAUGAAUUUCAAGGUUACUUUUAGGGCAUUGAGUAAGACUAAAUUUGUCUCCUUUAGCGACAGGGGUGUCACCUGGUCUACAAUUCUGCAUGCCAAACCUUUUGAGUACUUUAUCGAUAUAGCUCUUUUGUGAUAAUCCAAGAAUACCUCGAGAUCGAUCUCGAUGUAUCUGAAUUCCUAAAACAAAAGAGGCGUCCCCAAGAUCUUUCAUCUCAAAAUGCUUGGAUAAAAAUCUCUUGGUUUCGUGCAAUAAGCCUAUAUCAUUAGUGGCAAGCAAAAUGUCAUCAACAUAUAGAACCAGAAAUAUGUACUUACUCCCAUUGAAUUUGUGAUACACACAAUCAUCAACAAUAUUCAUUUCAAAACCGAACGAAAUAAUUAUUUGAUGAAACUUGUGGUACGGGAAGCUUGUUUGAGUCCAUAGAUGAAUUUUGUCAAUUUGCAAACCAUAUUCUUUGAGUCUUUCGACUCAAAAAUUUUUGGUUGCACCAUAUAAAUUGUUUCUUCAAUGUCACCAUUAAGAAACGUAGUCUUAACAUCCAUCUGAUGUAACUCAAGAUCAAAAUGAGUAACAAGUGACAUGAUUAUCCUAAAGGAGUCUUUCGAUGAAACUGGAGAGAAGGUCUCUGUAAAAUCAAUGCCUUCUUUCUGAGUAUAUCCUUUAGCUACAAGACGUGCCUUAUACCUUUCCACAUUACCAUUUGCAUCCCUCUUGGUUUUAAAUAAUCAUUUACAACCAAUUGGUUUUGCACCUUCAGGUAAUGGGACAAGUUCCCAAACUUUAUUGUCUUCCAUAGAUUUAUACUCAUCUUUCAUGGCAUCAAUCCACUUUUGAGAAUUAGAACUUUUCAUGGCCUGAUGAAAGUUGAUUAGAUCAUCUUCCAUCAUUCCAUUAUCAUCCUCAUGUUCUUGGAGAAAUACAAUAUAAUCAUCUGGAAUAGCAUUUCUCCUUUCUUUUGUGGACCUUCUUAAUGGCACUUGUUCUUGAGGUUGUUGAGUUUGUUCUUCUGGAACAAUUACCUCAUUUUGAAUGGGGAGUUGUUCAACAUUGUCUUGUAGAGGUUCUAGAUUCACUUCUUGAUCAAUGAUAGGUAUAAGAACCUGAACAUCAUCAAAAGUGAUAGUAGAAAUUGAGUUAAAAUCCAAUUCUUCCUCAAAAGCAAUGUCUCUAACCUUAUUUCUCCCCCCAAACUCAACAUCCUCAAAAAAUGUUGCAAUUCCUGUCUCAAAAAUAUUCUUUAUUAUGGGAUCAUAAAAUUUAUAGCCCUUAGAUCGCUCAGAAUAGCCAAUAAAGUAGCUGCUUAUUGUUUUGGAGUCCAAUUUCUUUUCAUGAGGCCUAUAAGGCCUUGCCUCAGCUGGACAUCCCCAAAUGUGAAAGUGCUUUAGACUAGGCUUUUGACCUGUCCAAAGCUCAUAAGGUGUUUUUGCAACUACUUUAUUGGGUACUCUAUUCAGAAUGUAAGCUGCUGUCUUUAAUGCUUCUCCCCAAAGGGAAUCAGGUAAGGUAGAAUGAGCAAUCAUGCUCCUUACCAUAUCCUUAAGAGUUCUGUUUCGUCUUUCAGCUACACCAUUCAUACUAGGUGAUCCUGGCAUGGUGUACUGUGGGACAAUACCACAUUCCUCUAGGAAUUUCGCAAAUGGUCCUGGACAUUGUUCACUUGAGCCAUCAUAUCUACCGUAGUACUCACCACCACGAUCAGAUCUAACGUUUUUAAUCCUUUUGUUGAGUUGAUUCUCAACUUCAGCUUUAUAAGUUUUGAACACGUCCAAAGAUUGAGAUUUCUCAUGAAUGAGAUAUAGGUACCCAUAACGUGAGUAAUCGUCUAUAAAUGUUAUGAAAUAUUGUUGACCAUUCCAUGAUGCCGUAGGGAAUGGCCCACAAAUAUCUGUAUGAAUUAAUUCUAAGACAUCUGAAGAUCUGUUGGCACCCAAUCUCUUGGUUUUGGUCUGUUUUCCCUUGAUGCAAUCGACACAAACAUCAAAGUUUGUGAAGUCAAGGGACUUUAAAAUACCAUCAGACACAAGGCGUUCAAUUCUAACUUUUGAGAUAUGACCUAAGCGCCUAUGCCAUAAUGAUGCUGAAUUUUCCUUAUUUAAUUUGCGUUUAAUACCCCGUGAUUCCACAUGCAAGGUUUCAUUAUAGGAUACAACUGUUUCUAGCAAAUAAAGGUUGUCAUAAGUAUUUAAAUAACCAGUUCCAAUAACAUUUGAAUUUAAAGACAAAUUAAAUUGAUUGUUUCCGAAUGAACAAUAAUAUCCAAAUUUGUCCAACGAAGAAACAGAAACUAAAUUCCGUCUAAAUGACGGUACAACAAAAGUGUCUUUUAAAUCCAAAUAAAAACCAGUUCCUAAUAACAACCUAAAAUGCCCAAUUGCUUCCACUUCUACUGAUUUUCCAUCGCCCACAAAGAUAUGUCUUUCACUAUCACUUGGCUUUUGGUAACUCAGGCAACCCUUUCUUUACACGCCAAGCAUGAUAUUUGGUAUAAUCUUUCUUUACAUGUCCAGACUUAUUACAAAAGAAACAACUCUCUGUAGCUUGUUGUUUCUUUUGGGCUAGACCCUUAGCAGCUUCAUUUUGAUAUUUUCUUUUCUUGCCCUUGUCCUUGGGGGCAUUGGCCAUAUGAGCACUUUCAGACUUAUCACGCUUCAACCUUUCUUCGUCUUGCACACAAUGAGAAAUGAGCUCAUUUAGGGUCCAUUUCACCUUUUGACAGUUAUAACUAAUUUUAAAUUGGUUAAACUGUGCAGGAAGCGAUACCAAAACCAUAAGAACAAGCAAUUCCUUAGAAAGCUCGAUCUUAAGUGCCUUAAGUCUUGAAGCAGUAUGGAACAUCUCCAUAAUGUACUCCCUUACGUUUCCUUGACCUUUAUACUUCAUAGACAUCAAAGAAGUCAGAAGUGAUGUCAUCUCAACCUUAUCGUUUUUAGCAAAACGUUUCUCAAUUUCAUCAAGGAAACCUUUGGCCUGAGUAAUCUCUUCAGAUUCUGUGCCCCUAAAGGCUUCUGGAAUGCUGUGUUUCAUGAUCAUUAGACUCAUGCGAUUUGAACAAUCCCACCUUUCAAAGUCCCUCUUAAUAUCAGGGGUGCUUUCCGCAGUGAGAGGUGCAGGUUGUUCUUCCCUUAGUGUAAGGUCUAUGUCCAUACAGCCAAGCACUAUAAGUAAGUGCAUUUUCCAUUUCUUAAAAUUAGUUCCAUUAAGCAUGGGUAUAGAAUUUAUAUUAGUAGAUAUUGUAGCAGCAGAAGAUGAAUUAGCUGAAUAGAGAACAAAAACAAGCUUAAAUCAAUAUUCAUAAGUAAACAAUAAAUUCAAUAUAAUGGCUAAUCCCAUCUCAAGAUACCAAACACUACAUUAAUAUCAAGUCUUUGGACAGUAAUAUUAAUAGUUUACAGUACUCUUGUUGUAGCAAUCAAACAUUGACAAUAAAUUAUGUCAAGCAAUGAAUUAAUCUUUGGACUAACUUAUUGCUUACAUAAAAUACCUUAUAAUUAUCACACAUUUAUCACCACAGAUGUCGUUGUAAUUCUGCCAAAUAUUAACUUACCUUUGGGUCAAUCAAUAAAUGCAUGAAUCACAAAAACAUAUAACCAUCUUAAUAUUUUAAAUAAACUAAUCUACACAAAAGAGGUCACUUUGGCGGCAUUUUGUUUCAACUAAUUUAUUUAAAAUAUUAGAUAUCCUUAAUUAAAAGCCAAAAUUUGAAUUUAUUUGUUCCAAAAUAUUUACCUUAAUUUCAUCUUUCAAUCAAAUUAAAAGAUAAAACAUAAAUAUAUAUUUAUAUUAUUUUCCAAAACAUUAAACCAAUCAAAGCAUGCAUAUUUUAUAUAUUUAUAUAAACAAACAAAGCAUAGAUAUGAAUCAAUUUCUAUAUAUAUAUAUAUAUUAAAUGUCAUAUGGAUUAAAAUAACAAUAAUCACAUGCCUUGCAAAUACACAAGAACUGAAUCGCAAUAUUUUCAAAUAAAACUUAAAAACGUAGGUAUCAAAUAAUAUUACCCAAUUUUAAUAUGAAAAUCACCCAAAAUUUUUUUUAAUAUGAAUUCAAGAUAAAAAAAAACUUUAAUAUAAAUCUUCAAAAAACAACAUAUAUAUCCGAAAUAUAAAACCCAUGAAAUUUCAUGAAUCAAUUAUUCAAAUGAAUAACUUGAAUCAAUUCCCAAUGAUUCGAUAUGACGAGGCUCGGAUGCCACUUGUUAGAAUUUAUAAAAUAAAUCUACAAUAUAACUUAAUAAACCAGGAUCUGUCAUGUCAAAUCAUUAAGAAUAAAUCAAGAACAAAACUAGAUGCGGAAGCGUACUUGAAUCCAUGGAUUCCUUGAAACUUUCUAGAACUUGGGGAUUUGAUCUUCCAAAUUAGCACACAAGAAACUUAGAGAAUAUCUGCUCUUUCUUUCCUAAUGAUGGGAUAUUAGAAAAGAUAUCUUUUGUAUAAUUUGGGGACCAUAACCCUAAUAUUUAUAACCUUAGCAUAUUAGUUCUAAUCAAAUUCUAAUUAGCCCAUCAUUAAUUAGAAUUUGAUUAAAAGAGUAUCUACACAUAUUUGACCUAUACUUUAUUUAUUUAAUAAUUAAAAUCCCAAUAAAAUUCUAACCAAAUUAGAUCACUUUUAAUUUGGGCUAACCUAUCAUGAUAGUAAAUAAUAACAUGUAAUUAUCCUUAUUAUAUAUGUGAUGUCCAAAUUUUCUAACAUAAAUCUCAUAUUUUAGAUAAGUAAAGGGAUGACCAAUAUGACAGUUCUAAGAGAUUCCUCAUAUUUCUUCAACUUAUCAUCAUCUCCAAGUUUGUUAAACAAAUCAAAAGAUGGAGCACAAAUUUUAUUAGCUUGAGAAGUGGAAGAUGAAGAUAUGAUAUUGUUCUUAGCAUGCUGUUGAAUUUGACCUUUGAGCAUAAAUCCAUGUACAAUUUUCUUGAUCUUUUAAUGCCUCAAUAGCUCCAAUGCAACUCAUGGUUUUAAUCCUUUUUGCUAUACUUUUCAUAUCAAAUGGCUGUUUUUUUCUUAAGCAAAUGGUAAUGGUAGAUAUGAGGUUCUUAUAUAGUGACUUUAUGGGGGGAAACCAAAGAUGGUAUUCAAAUAAAAGAAAUGGUUUUAAUUGUAUCCUACAAUAGAGACAAUGAUAGUAAAGAAAUGAACAAAAUCACCAAAGAUAAGGUUUUGGAUGGUUUGUUUUUGGUUCCUUUGGAUUUGGGGGAUGAAUCCUUCACUAUUUACAUCCAAUUUAUUGGUUUCUAUUACAUCUUUCCAUGAAAAAUUGAAAUCCUAAUGUGACUUGAGAAGUGGAUUGGCUUGUUCUCUAUUUAUGUUUAAAUUCUUCCCAUGUUUUUUUUGUUUUUGGGAUUUGAAGUUUUAAACUCCCUUUGUUUGCCAGUAAAAUCUUUGUUUUUAGGCUCCGAAAAAUAAUUUACUUUUCUGAUAUUUGGAUGAAUCUAUGUAAAAUAUUUUUUAUUUUUUGACAGAUUUCUUAAAAAUAUUUUCCAAAAAAACUAUUUUUAAAUAUAUUAAUAAAUUCAUGUUUUAAAUUAUUUUUACAUAUAUUACAAUGAUUUAUUUAUAAAUAAAUACAAAUGUUUUGCUACAAGUACAUUAGUGAAAAUUGAAAAUAGUGAUCAACCCCUUAAAGGGUUGAAACAGGCCAAAACUCAACAGAUACCUAAUUUAGUAUUCACAUAAAUCAUAGCAAUUGUAUCAAAUUCGGAGAAAUGUAGUGAUUGCAUUUUGAUGGAGCAACAAAAUCAUUUAAUGACAUUAACUGGCAAUGGUCACAUUGACCAACAAAAGUGUUGAACAAGACUAACAAAAUUUCAGCUCAAAAGAUAAAAACCAAUCAUAACUGGCAUCAUUAACGCCAUAUCUCAUGUCAUUCAUGCAUCACAGCAUCCUUAUCGUCAAAAUAAUUCCCAAAAGUGUAGGAAUUGAUCAAAUUCACUAAGAUAACAAUAACCAAUUCCUCUAGAUUUCAAAUCCAAAUUUCUUAUAGAAGUUGAUGCAUCUUCGUUGUUUGUCUGAACAUGCAAGUAGAUUUCCGGUAUGUUUUGCUUCGAACAGAGAUAAAGAACAUGGUUCAAUAGCCUUGUACUUGCAUAAAUUAAAGAUUUUUAACGAACUAUGGCUUCUAUUCAGAAUCAAUGAGAACAUAAUUUUUCAGCAAAAACAUGCUGAGGCAGUUUAGUUACACUCUACAUUUCUUCAUCGUUGACCUCAUUGCAAUUUGCAAAAGACAACCAUUAUUGUGCCACUGAACAUGGGCAGAUAUUUUAAGAGCACAAGUGAAACCAGAAGUGAUCCGAUUCAAAUUAGAGGUAUUGAUAAUGUUAAAGGACAAUACUAAGAUCAUCCAAUUAGCAAUUAGUUUCUUGCAUGACCUAUUCCAAGGAAAUGUUGUUUGUCUACUCACCAAUUCCUAGCCCACGAUAUGGUGCUAAAACACCCAAUGUCAUGAUGCACACACGGAUGGCCACACCUUCCUUCUUUUGCAGCCGGCAAGCAAUUGAUCCGACACAGAUGUCACUGUAAUAUGCUGAGUUAGAAUGCAAAAGAGUGAUUGUUAGAACAAAAUACUAAUUUUUGGAUAACACAGGCUAUUCUCCAACUUACUCUCAUCAGGUCUCAACUCAUGUAAUAGCUAUGUAUAACAAUCACAUCAUCUGUUACGUGAAUAUGCAUGCAUCACCACAAACAAUUUAUUCCGAGCCAACAAAUUGAAUAAAAAAUAAUUAAUUAUAGCUUUCUAAUCAUCAAUGUGUAACAUAGUAAUUGAUAUCAUAUGAUGAAGCCACUAUGACAGGGACAUUACAAACAUGCUCUGCACAUUCAUAAGAUCAUAGAGUUAAAAGAGGAUAGAGUUGCUCCAAACUUCAAUUGAGUGUAUUUCUUAGAGCAUGACUUGAGGAUUAAGGAGAAAAUAAAACAAAUAUGCAGUUACCAAGACAGAAGGAAACGAUAAGAUAACUUCUCUCCAAGAAGUAACAGGUUUUGAAAUUUCUACAGUUUCUGUGAAAAGAUGUAGACCAUCAAGCUCAAUAGGUGCCCUUCAAUGCAAGGCAGCAAAUUUCAGAAUCAGGAAGUCUUUAGCCAGGGUUUUUAUGACUCUAAAGUUCGCCAGAAAACUUCAGGGAUAGCUACUACUACCCGCUAUUUAACAGUGUAAAAGCAAUGCAGGAUAAGGAAGGAUGUAUUAACGUUACACAAUAUGCAGAAGAUCAUGGAAGAAAAGGUGACUGGACCAACUAAGAUUGGUAACAUAAAUAUUCGAGUGUAAGGCAGCACAAGCACAACAGCAGAAGCAAAGAGUGUUUUUGAGGCAUGUUUUCAUGAGGAUGACUGGUGACACGCAUUUUUAGAAUUUAAUAAGCCCAGAAUAUUGACCAUUGAGACCAAAACACAAUAAAUAGAGCAAGCAAUUCAAUAUAGGUCGGGUUAUCUAACCUAAACUAUCUAAUCCAACAAGGAAUUGCUUCUACCAAUGAUCACAUGAGAAGACACUAAACUGAUAACCGAAAACAUGUUAACGGUAUCGAAGGUCACUCAUGUGUAGGUUGUAGUUUCAAGACAGCCAAGUUCAUCAUUCAGUAACUUGAAACAUCAAGGAUAAAGUUUCUAGUCUUGGAGAAUCUAUACAUAUUAAACCAUUUUCCAAUCAUGUAUAAUCAAAUGCCAAUAUAAAUCAAACUAGCCCAUAAAAGGCCAUCAAUCUUCCGACUCAAAGAACCAAAAAGCCAAAAUCAAGCGCAGAAAUCAAAACCAACAAAAUAAAUUCCCAUAAUAGGAUACUAACUACAUACCCAGAGGGAAAGAGAACAACAAUAAAAUUCCCAAUAGAUGGCAUAUACUAAAGAACACAAAAGAAAAGAAAAAAACCAGUGCAAAGAAAAUGCCAAACAACAUUGGACCAACCAAAAAGAGUUCAACAACUUUAAAAAGAAAAAAAAAUGAAAACCCAGAAAAAGAUUAGGAAAAACGGAGCAAACCAAGCUUGGUGAAUUCGCCAGAAGCGAGAGCAUCGGCGUAGUACUUAUCGUUGUAACGAACAGGGAAGAGAGCUGUGUUGAGCUUCUUCAGCUGCAUCACGUUCUUGUCCCUCACUCCAUCAAGUGAUAUUGCUACUUCUCGCCCAGCCCCCAUUUCUUAACUCCUUUGCGAUCUAUUGGUCCAAUAAAACAAAAGAUUUGCAGAGGGGAUAUAAUAAUGGUGUGGUGAGGGAUUGUACAGACAGACUUAGAUUUCUUGUAUGUGACAAAAGAGGAAGGGUAGGUUGGCUUUUCAAUUUACAGCGACGGUGGAGGGAUUCGCUACUCAUGGAACUUGGGGUUUCUCGUUUCCCUGAGAAAGACCCAGCGAAGUGGAACCUCGAUUUUCCUGAGAAAGAAGAGAGCAAACGAAACAGCAGCCUGAGAAGAGAAGAUAUGCGAGGGUAAGAAGAUGAAGAACAAAAGAAGAAGGAAUGAAGAAGAAUGAGAUGGACUGAUGAAGAAGGAGACGGAAAAUGAUUUCAGGACCAAGAAAAUAAAAACACAGUGCAAAAGCGUGGACGGCAGGAUUCGAACCUGCGCGGGCAGAGCCCACAUGAUUUCUAGUCAUGCCCGAUAACCACUCCGGCACGUCCACUGAUUUUGUUGGUUUUUGUCAUUGUUUACUUAAUAUUGUAUUCUUUUGCAUACCACCACAACGUACAUUCAUUCUCUUUUUGAAUUUAAAAACAACCAUCUCAUUUAUCAUAAAUAUUUAAAAAUUCAUUUUUAAGAUUAUCUAAAAAUAAAAAUAUUACCAUCUCUUAAUUUUUUUAUAAAUUGGAAAUAAAAAAUCUUUUUUUUUGGUUUUAACUCUCAAUAUUUUGCUCUUCCUUUUAUAACUUUAGUUAUUUCAGUGUCAUGGUUGAACUGAUGAAGGCAGUCCAAAGCAACAAAGGUUUACAAUUUGUUGGCUACUGUAUACAUUUGGUUUCCAUAAAUCUUGAGUCGAGUCGAGUUGAGUAGAAUUUUAAAAUUUUCGAAUAUUUUUUGGGGUCAUUUGUAUUUUAGGUUUACGUUUUCAAGUUAGGUCACUAUAAGUUUUAGUUAUUAUGUGUUUGAAGUGUUCCAAUUUUUGGUCUGUUAAAAUACGUCCGUCUCUGUACUCAGACAAAAUUUGAAAUUUAAUCUUUGUACUUAAAAAUAUCAAAAUUAGAUUUUCUUAAUUUUUUUAUUUAAAAAUUUCAGUUUAGUCAUUAAUGUUAUUAGUAUUUUCCAUCAAAAUUUGCUAACUUGGUAUGUUAAUUAAACUAUCCUCAUAUGACACUGCAUAUGAUUGACAAAAAAUAAACAUAUUAAGUUGAAAAAUUUUGACAGAAAUUACAAACUACGAUAAUAAUUAUGAUUAGAAUUUUUAAAUUGAAAAAAAGGUAGGAUUAAAAUUUUAAAUUUUAUAGUGCAUGUGAAUAAAUCUCAAAUUUUAGAUAAGUAAAUGGAUGACCAACAUGACAGUUCUAAGAGAUUCCUCAUAUUUCUUCAACUUAUCAUCAUCUCCAAGUUUGUUAAAGAAAUCAGAAGAUGGAGCACAAAUUUUAUUAGCUUGAGAAGUGGAAGAUAAAGAUAUGAUAUUGCUCUUAGCAUGCUGUUGAAUUUGACCUUUGAGCAUAAAUCCAUGUACAAAUUCCUUGAUCUUUCAAUGCCUCAAUAGCUCCAAUGCAACUCAUGGUUUUAAUCGUUUUUGCUAUACUUUUUAGAUCAAAUGGCUAUUUUUUCUUAAGUAAAUGGUAAUGGUGGAUAUGAGGUUCUUAUAUAGUGACUUUAUGGGGAGGGGGAAAACUAGAGAUGGUAUUCAAAUAAAAAAAAUGGUUUUAAUUGUAUACUACAAUAGAGACAAUGAUAGUAAAGAAAUGAACAAAAUCACCAAAGAUAAGAUUUUGGGAUGGUUUGUUUUUGGUUCCUUUGGAUUUAGGGGAUGAACCCUUCACUAUGUACAUCCAAUUUAUUGGUUUCUAUUACAUAUUUCCAUGAAAAAUUGAAAUCCUAAUGUGACUUGAGAAGUGGAUUGGCUUGUUCUCCAUUUAUGUUCAAAUUCUUCCCAUGUUUUUUUGUUUUUGGGAUUUGAAGUUUUAGGUUCCAUUUGUUUGCCAGUAAAAUGUUUGUUUUUAGGCUCCAGAAAAUGAUUUCUGAAAAAUGAUUUACUUUUUUAGUGUUUGGAUGAAUCUGUGUAAAAUAUUUUUUAUUUUUUGGCAGAUUUCCUGAAAAUAUUUUCCGAAAAAGCUGUUUUUACAUGUAUUAAUAAAUUUAUAUAUAUAUUAAUAAAUUUAUAUUUUAAAUUAUUUUUACAUAUAUUGCAAUGAUUUAUUUAUAUAUAAAUAAAUCAAAUUAUUAUACAAAUGUUUUGCUACAAGUACAUUAGUGAAAAUUGAAAAUAGUGAUCAACCCCUUAAAGGGUUGAAACAGGCCAAAACUCAACAGAUGCCGAAUAUCUUCCAAUACCUAAUUUAAUAUUCACAUAAACCAUACCAAUUGUAUCAAAUUCGGAGAAUUGUAGUGAUUGUAUUUUGCUGGAGCAACAAAAUCAUUUAAUGACAUUAACCGACAAUGGUCACAUUGACCAACGAAAGUGUUGAACAAGACUAACAAAAUUUCAGCUCAAAAGAUAAAAACCAAUCAUAGUUGGCAUCAUUAACGCCAUAUCUCAUGUCAUUCAUGCAUCACAGCAUCCUUAUCGUCAAAAUAAUUCCCAGAAGUAUAGGAAUUGAUCAAAUUCACUAAGAUAGCUGUAAGAGGCUAAUUUUGUACUGGGCUCCCCAAAAUAAUAACCGAAUCAAUAAAGCCAAAGGAUACAAUCGGUCGAAAACGAGCUAAAAAGGGCCAAAUUGAAAGACAAUCAUUAAAUUUUAGUCAAAUUAAAAAGAUGGAGAAAGCUAAGGAGUUCAAAUUUUGUUGACUUGGUAAAAGGUUAAAAAUAGGAAUAUAUGAUUUUUUUGUUGUUUUUAUUUUAUUUUAUUUUAUUUAGGCUAUUUUUAGUAAACUCCGUGUAUAUAAAUAGGGGUAUUUUGUUCUUUGAAAGGGGACUUGGAUGAAGACUUUUGUCUUCCUACUUCAAUUUGAAAUUGGAUUAUUCUCUCUUUUCCUAUCUCCAUUGGAAUUGAAUUAUUUUCUUUUCUCUUUUAAUUACGUGGGAAUUUUGUCAAUUUCAUCUCAAUUUAUUUGUUUUUUUCUAAAUUCGUCCAAUUGUUUUUAGCCCUUCCCUUUUUUUAUUGUUUUGCAAUUAAGUUUUCAUUUUUUUGCCCUAAAAUUUGUUUUGACUGCAUUUUGGUCCUGCUUGAGGUUGUGCGUUUUGGAGGGUGGGGAUUAUUUCCCUUUUGGUCCCUCCUUGUUAUUCGCAUGUUCAAAUUGGUCCAUUUCAUUUUAUUUAUUUUUUAUUUGCCCCAAAAUUUUGCUUUAAGGUUCGAGUUAAUCUUUUUUUUUCGUUAUUUUAUUAUCAAAUUAACUAAUUUAAUAUAUUAUUGCUAUUAUUAUUAUGUUUCUAUUUAUAUUUAUUUUGUUAUUCUAAUACUAUUAUUAUUUAUCUAAUUUUUAUUUAUCUAUUUAUAUUUCUACUAUUAUUAUAUUUCUAUUUAUUAUAUUUUUAUUUCUAUUUAUAUACUAAUAUUAUUUUCAUUAUUAUUUUUCUUAUAUAUGUUUUUACUUUUUUUUAUUACAUUUUAUUUAUUUAUUUAUUUAUUUAUAUUUUUAUUAUCUAUUUAAACUUUUUAUAUAACGCUCAUUUCAAAUUUUUAUACAUUAUUUACUUUAAUAUUUUCACAUAUUAUGUACUUCAAACUUUUUUUUUACACAUUAUAUAUUUUGAAUUGUUUAUAUAUUUUCAUAUACAUUAUGUAUUUAUUUGUUAUUUGUGAUUCAUUAUUAUAACAUUUUGUUUAUGAAUUAUUACUUUGCGUUGUACAUUAUUAUUCCAUCGCAUUUUAUUCGUUUAAAAGGUCGUGUUUUAAUAUCGUUUAAGUUUUAAAAUCAUUUUAUUCAAAAGUUUUCAAAAUAAGGCAAUACUCAGUAUUUGGCAUCUUUGAGAAGAUUAUGCCCUAACUUGUUGGGUUCCAAUUUUCCUCGUUAAAUCUAAGUAACCGAGUACCCCUUUUUCAAUCAAAAGGCAUAAGUUUCAAAUACAAGCUUAUUCUCAGGAAUUCGAGGUGUUGUGUCCUAACUCACUGGAUAUGACAUUUUGUAUCUCAAGAUAAGGAUUUCUAAAAAUUAAAGGCAAUGUUCUAUGUUUGGAAAUCCGAGAAAUCGUGCCCUAACGUGUUGGGUUUCGAUUUUUCGUUGGACCAAAUAAUCCAAUAUCCUUUUGUAAUUUUCAAAUGUAUGAGCUUUUGAAAAUCAAGAAUUGAUCGUGGUUUCGAAGGUUUAAAGAAUCAUGUCCUAACGUGCUGGAUGUGAUAUUAUAUUCCUUCGAAACAAGAGCAUUUUAAUGUUCAAUUUGAGUUUUUCAAAUGCUUUAAAAGAAAUUGUAUUUCAAUUUUUUUUUAAAAAAACUUUAGACAAUAUGACAUUAAUUAAUCAAUUGGUACCAAUUUUGGGCAUUACGAGGGUGCUAACCCUUCCUCGUGUGUAACCGACUCCCGAACCCUUUUUUUUCUCAAAUUUUGUAGACCCAAAAUCAUUGUUUUAAUAAAUCAAAAUGUUUUAUUAAAAUGACCAAUCUCAAGGUGAUCCGAUCACACCUCAAAAAAAGAUCGGUGGCGACUCCAUUUUUGUUUUUAAGUCGACUCCUGUUUUUCAACAAAAAAAAUGGUAUCGAUAGCUUGGCGACUCCACUGGGGACCAAUAAGAGAGUUAAGCCGUAAAAUUGAUUAUUUUCUAUCCUUUUGUCAAAAAUUGAAAUUUUGAUUUGAAAAUCAUGAUUCUUUUAUUACAUUUGUUUAUGAUCCCUAUGUUUGCUAGAAUAUUUUUGCAUUGCAUUGCAUGACCGUUGUGGUUACACCUUUUAAGUGGGAGUGAGAAACUAUGCCUUCGUGAGGUUUUCUCCUCCGCAUAGGCUAGUGGACUGCUUCCGGGAUACAUCCGUACCUAUUUCUUCGUGAGGUUUUCACCUCCGCAUAGCCAUAGAGAAAUGUAUUCCCCUGAACUGAACUCGAUCCACAUGAGCCUAUAAUAGGUGAGGAUUGAGGAAUCUGCUAGUUCAGGUAUCCUGUCUUUAGAAUCAAACCGUAUUUAGCAAGCCUUAAGAGUCCACCCUAGGUAGAACUGUACCCGAAAUCUAGUGGUCACCCGAAUAAGUGCUUUAUUUGUUAUUUAUUUAUUUUGUACUAACGUGUUUGCUUUUGUUUUGUUUAUAACUGCAUUGCAUUACAUCAUCAUAGAAAGGAAGUGUUGAUUCAUAUUCGAUUAUUAAAUAGAACAGUUUGUCAUGGGAAAAUGGAUUUCUUAAUAAAGUGGAUUAUAAUACGGUUGUUUGAAUACGGACCAAGUAAGCACAACGAAAGAAGGCUGAUAGUUCGCGAAGGAAAACAAGACUUUGUUUUAUUGCUUGAGGAUUCAAGCUGAUAAAGAUUAUUUGAGAGCUGUCACAUCCCAACUUUCUUAAAGGAGUUAACAAGCAUCACGAGGAUAAGUGAGUAAUAAGUCGCGUCCCGAAUCAAGCAAAAAGGAGCUAGUGGAGGCAUCUAUUAGAAUUUUGCGAGAUUUGACUUUUACGAAGAAAAGGGGUCGAUGUCUUUGCUUGAAAUAUAAGGGCAAGGCUGCAUAUGUAAUCCGUUUUAUGUAAAGGAAUUUGUUUUCUAGAAAAGUUGUUCUAAUAGAAUUGAAUUCAGAAUCAACGCCCACAUUUCUUUUGCUUUCAUCACAUGCAUUUGCAUUGCAUUGCAUCAUUUGCAUUAGAUUUCCACAAAGGACCCUAAUUAAUUGAAAUCAUUUCAGUUAAUCUGGAAACUGAUAAAAACUUACCAACCAAGUGUCGUUAUGGUAUCCGUACUAAGACAAAAGAUAUGGACCAAAGAUUGGAAAGACUUAAACAAUUUCAAAAAAAGAUGCAAGACCAGUUACAAAUACAAAUGCAAGAGCAAUUGACAAAGAUUCGGCAAGAUAUGAGAGGCCAAAUGCUAGAGUCUCAAAGGAAUAUAAUGAAUCCGUUGUCCCAAUUACUGACUAAGGGGCUAGAAAAAGGAAAAAGCUCCAUGAUUAAUUCUGGGGAGGACAACAAGGGGCCUCUCUACCCUCCCGGUUUCACCCUGACAAGUGCUCAGACAUCUCCACAAGGUGUACCUAUCCAGAAAUAUCAGGCCGAUACCUCAGCACCAGUGGAUUACCUAAUAGGCUCAGGCUCCAAUCCGGGGGGCAAUCUAAUCAUUCAUGUAGUUCCUGAUCUAGACAAAAUGGAAAAAUCAAAGAGGGAACUCCCAAAGCAACUGAAAGACUGGUACAAAUGGCUGGAGGAAAAGUUCAAGGCGAUGGAAAAUGCUGAUGAUUAUCGUGGAAUUGACUUCAGGGACCUGAGCUUGGUUCCGAACUUAAUACUUCCCGACAAGUUUAAAAUGUCUGAAUUUGAAAAGUAUAACGGGACUAGUUGUCCUGAAGCUCAUAUCACCAUCUUUUGCAGACAAAUGACUGUGUAUGUCAAUAAUAACCAAUUAUUGAUUCACUGUUUCCAAGAAAUUCUGGUUGGGACAGCAUCCAAAUGGUACAACCAAUUGAGCCGUACCUAGAUCAAUUCAUGGAAGGAUUUAGCACAGGCCUUCAUGAAGUAGUAUGGUCAUGUGACGGAUAUGACUCCUGAUAGGAUCACUUUACAGAGUAUGAAAAAGAAACUGAAUGAGAGUUUCUGGCAAUACGCCCAAAGGUGGAGGGAAACUGCCAUACAAGUUCAGCUACCUCUCUUAGAAAAAGAGACUACCAUACUUUUCAUCAAUACUCUGAAAGCCCCGUUCAUUAACCAUAUGUUGGGAAGCACUACCCUGAGCUUUUCAGAUAUAGUAAUGUCUGGUGAGAUGAUUGAAAACACGGUAAGGAGUGAGAAGAUAAAUGCGGGAAAGAGCGCUAAAAGGUCAACCCCGAGAAACAAGGAAAAUGAAGCGAACAUCGUGAGCAUGUCUUCCAAAUUGGUUAACGUAGGCCAGCCGAGGGCUGUAACCACUAGCUAUCAAUACUCUUCAAGAUAGUAAUCCAACUUGAGGCCAAAUACAGAAAGGUUCAGAUUUACACCCAUCCUGAUAUCAUAUAAGGAGUUGUAUCAAAAUCUUUUUUAUGUGCAUGUGGUGUCUCCGUUCUACUCGAAACUCGUGCAACCUCCAUUCCCAAAAUGGUAUAAUGAGAAUGCUUAAUGUGAGUACCACGCAGGAAUAACAGGACACUUAAUCGAAAACUGCACUACAUUUAAAAAGUUAGUCGAAAAAUUUAUUGAAAUGGGAAUUGUGAAGUUUGAUGAUUCCCCAGAACCUAAUUAUUCUGGCAAUGAAGUGAAUGGGAUAUUUGAAAGUGGGGACAAAAGAGUUGCGAUGACGUGAACAAGUCAAAAGCCUGAAAGGAAUAUCAGGGAAUCUAAAUGACAUAUCCGAAGAGAGAAUCGAGGAAUAAAAUUUUCCAUAUCCUUGCAUACUUGGGAAUGUUUUGAACAAUGAGACUGUGGAAGAGAUCUUUGUAUUUUUAGAGCUAAUCUAGAGUAAUAUUUAAAACACGCUUGUUGCUUUAAGCCUAGAGGCAAUAAAAAUCUUUUUGUGACAUAGGCUUGUGUCCAGAAUUUUUAUUUCAAUAAAAUGCAUCUUUUUGAGCAAAUAUUCUUUCAUUUUUUUUCCAUUUCAUAGUAUACAUUAUUUUGUUAUUUGGACUGUCUUUUAAAUAUUAUUUUAUUAUUCAUUCAUGAUCAUAUCAUACAAAUAAUCAUCCUUAGAAUCAUUUAUUCUUUGGAAAUAUGCCUUUGUACCUACAAUAGGUCCCAAGAUAUCAACGACAUGAGCAACGCUGUAACUGACUGCCUUUUAGGGUGAGAUAUGUGUUUAAGCAGAUCUCAAGACUUUGAAGAUGACAGAGAUUGUAACCUAUGUCCUGAUUUUUUUAAGGAUGGUAGAACAUUAUGAAAAAUAGAUCCUACUCUACAAAGGGUCAGUAGACAUUGUGAGCAAGAGGUAAAGAUCGGAGCCUACAUUGCCACGAAGACAAAGCGAAUCAUCAUUGAGUUACUCCAAGAUUUCAAAGAUGAUUUCGUAUAAUCAUGUCCGGAUAUGCCCGGGAUAUUAAGACCUAUAGAUGCUAAUGUCUAUACGGUCUUAGAAGGAUACAUGUUAAUAGUUUCACGGUAGCCACAUUAAUCAUGAGGUUUGGGUACUAUUGAUCCACCAUAUAGGGGGAUUAUAUCAGUUAGGUAAUAUUUAGGGAGACAAGAUUCAUGUGCCUCAUUCAUUUCUUCAUAGACUUUCUCUACCAGGGGGCAUGGAUGUUAUCAGACCAUUAUUGUCUAAUCGAUUCAUCUUGGUGGUCGUCAAUAACUUCACAAAGAGGGUGAAGGUCACUUCAUAUGCCAGUAUUAAAAGGUUAAUAGUCAUUCAAAUCCAAAAAAAGAGAGGGAAAGAUCAGGUGCCGACAUGUAAUAUCAGAAAAGAUCAUGUCUAAUACAACUGCACAAUGUCAAAAGUUUACAGUCUAUUCAAAGAUCAGACACCAUAUCACAGUGCAACGAAGGCAGCCAAAAAGAAAGAAGCAAAAAAGAUUGUGGAAGGUGACCCAGACUUGUAAAGAUUGAUAUAAAGAAGUUACCGUUUACCCUAUAUACUUAUCAAACGUCAGCUAAGACCUUCAUCCGGGCAAUUUCUUUCUCAUUAGUUUAUGGAAUAGAAGAGUUUUGUCCAUUAUUUCUUUUCUCCGAGUCUUGCCAGAACUAAAGGUUGGAUGAGGUAGAAUGGAUCCAAUCCCGAUAUAAUCGGUUGAAUUUGAAGGAUAUCUGUCACAAUCAGAUGAUGCGGGAUUAUGACAAAUGGGGUUCAUCCUAGAGAAUUGGAGACCUGGCAUUAAAGAAGAUCUUUUCUAUACAAAAGGACUUUAGAGGAAAGUUGAUGUCAAAUUGGGAAGGACCUUAUGUAGUAAAGAAGGCCUGUUCUAGAGGAGUAUUAAUCUUGAUAGAGAUGGAUAGCAAGGACCUUCCCAAUCCAAUGAACUCAGAUUUAGUCACAGUUAAUAGUUUCAAAAAAAAGAACACAAAAAAUAAAAGAAAAAGAAACAAGUGAGGUAAAGGCGAAAACCCGUAAAGAGCACCUUGAGACCAAAUGAGAUUUGAGUUGAAAACCUGAAAAGGGUGGCUUAAAUUUGGAUCAAAAUGGGGCAUACAAUAGUCUUUUUAUGUUUGAAUUAACAAUGAAGAAGUAUGCUACGUCUUGGGGCAUCGAAAAAAUAUUUCGGAUUCUCUAAACACAAAUUGAGCUCAAAAUGGUCCUCAAGAAGUUGGUACAGAGAAGCUCAGGCUGUGAUAUCUAGGGCACUUAGUUUUCGUCUUACCCAUUUUGAAUUUGCUAUCCUUUGACUACUUUAUUCGUUUCAAAAUGCACUUGCAAUAAAUUUCCUUUUUAAUUGCAUUUGCUAUCAUUGAUUAACUUAUUUGUUUCGAGCUAUGCUCUCGAUUAAUUUCCUUCUUGUCCAUUGUUAUGAUUUUUUUCAAGCAUUUUACAUUGAAAUAACGAUUAGUGGACUAAUAGUACUUUCAUUAAAGGAGUUCCGCAUAUUACUCUAGAAGUUUCUAAAUAAUAUAAGAAUCUGAAACAAGACUAUUGUUUAGAACUCGCCAAGCUUAAGGGUUGGAAAUAUUAGAGAAAGAUGAUCAUCUCUUUGGAACUUUUAUUGUUUGAACAAGACAUUUCGUCAGUGAUACAACCUCGACAAAUAACGAGCAAGUCAACCCAAGUGUAAAAGGGGAUCAUUCUUGGGAAAAGAAAAAUGAUACUCUGCAUUCAUGCAAAUAUCAGACAUAUAUAUCUGAUCAUUACACCCAGGGAAUGGUGUAACAGAUUAAGUUGAUUGAAGAUGAUACAACUCCUAUACCUCUGAGUUGCAGCAGAAUGGAUGGAAAAAAUGAAAUGUUAUUCCUCUGAAGUUGCAGUGAGAGGUACAAAUUUUAUAUCUCAGAAGGUACAGUGAAAUAGACCCUAAAGUUGCAAUAGGGCAAACCAGUUGAGCAAAAAAGAUUGUUUCUGCGGGUUUUCUGUCAGAAAAUACCACCCGAGUAAAAAUGAUGUGAGCUUGCCUACGAACCAAAUGGAGAACGAACAAGAAGCCAUUAAGCUGCCCAUUGGUCCAAUAACGCGAGCUAGAGCUAAACGAUUCAAAGAUGCUAUUUUAGCAAUGGUGGAACGGGUUGAGGAAAAUGAUAGCAAGGAGUUUAAAAACGAGCUGAACAUAUUCAACUUCUUUGAAGCUGAAUUUCGUUCUAGCUAAUUAAUUUGCUGCUGGAAUUUUAGACCAUUUAAAUAAGCAUUUAAAUAAGUUUCAUUACAGCUUUUAAAUAUGUCUUAAUUUAUUACAAGUGUUUAAUAUGUUGAUUUGGUUGAAUUAAAGGUGUCUAGAUGUCAUUUAAUUUGUUUGAAUAUAUUACAUGAAUUAACUAUGUUCAGCCGAAUUAAUGUGUCUUGUUUAGUACAUAUUUAAUUCGGCUUAAUGUUAAUUAGUAUGUUCAUAUUAUGUUUUAAAUUAAUUCAGCUGAAUUGAGUUAAAUUAAUGAGGUUCAUUUGUUUUAUUUAGGUUCAGCUGAAUGUGGAAGAUGCAUGGGAAAGGUUGGCCGAAUGUGGUGUGCAAGAUGCAUGCAUGUUGGAUUCAAUGCACCUAAUGAUACAUGCAUGAACUACAUUAAAAUGGUGUGCUGAUUAUUGAAGUUCUCUAAGUGACCAUUCGGCUAAAGAGAUAGUUUUUCAAGCUGCCAUUAUUUCCUUCACAUUUCUAGAUACAUUUUGGCCAUUCAGUUCUUGGUGUUCACAUUUUAAGGCUCUUCAAAACCGUCCAUUCACACCUAAUGUGGCUGUUCAAGUGCCCUCUUUAUUAUUGAUAAUUUUUCAGCAAGAGUUGCCUAUUGAAUGAUCAUUUAAGCUCAUCAGCUGAAUGUAGUUGUUACAUGCAUUCCCAAGAUUCAUUUGCUUAAUAUGGAAGCUUCAUGUAUGGUCACUAUUCAGCCGAACCUACAUUGGCCAUUUUUGUUCAAUGUUUGCUUAGAAACUAAGUCUAGAAUAUGUCCAUUCGGCUACUAGGCAUUAGGCUAUAAAUAGUUACUCAUUUUCUUGUAAAAGGACUUUUGACAAAUUUCUGAAUGAAAUAUCAUUUUAGUGAGGCAAUUCACUCUCUUUAUUCUCCAAAGCUCAAAUUGACUUAUCUUCAACAAGUGGCGUCAAUCUGACUUUGUUUCGAACUUAUCACCAUUGGUGUGGCGUUCUUCAUACCGUAGGUUCCUAUUUUGCUAAAUAGAGGGUCUCGGUUUUAUCCCAAAUCCUUUCUUUCUUUGAAACCUUAAGCCUCCGGUCCUUAUUUGCUAAUAAGGGUUCGACUUGUUUUCAUUGAAAUAUCCAGCAAACAACACUCCAUCAAACUCCCUUGUUUCCCAAAGCCAUUUAAUUUUAAACACCAAGACUUGAAUUUAUUUCAAGGCCGACACUACCUAAUUUCGAUCGGGAAAUAUUACGACUCGUUAUUUCAUACGAAACGAGCUCGUAUCAAAAAAGGCAGCAUAAUACGACAGUGAUAAAACUCUGAUGAAUAACGAGUGAUGACACUUUAAACUUUUAAAAAAAGGAAUCAUUCUCAUGACAUUUCUACAUUCAUAUCAUUCAUAGCACAUUUGGUUAGGAGCAUCUGAUUUAUUUUGAUCAUAGUAUCCAAAUCAUUUGGCAUAAACAUAGGCAUAUGGAACCGAGUCUAUAGGGUAUGUUCCCUAGAGGACAGUGUAGCGACAUCGGUGAAUUUAAGUUUUAUCUUCUUAAGGUAGCAAGGAAGCAGACUAGAAAUUACAGAUCUUAUCUCCAUGUAUCGACUAUGGAGCAGAUCAAAAAUGGAGAAUCUUGUCUCCAUGUAUCAGCUAUGGAGCAGAUCUUAGCCACUGGUCUUAUCUCUCUGAGGUAGUAGGAGAGUAGGUUGAAGAUACGAGCCUUAAUCUCUUAAGCAGUAGGAUAAUAGGCUGAAAAUUACAAAUCUUAUCUCCAUGUAUCGGCUAUGGAGCAGAUCGAAAAUCAUGAGUCUUAUCUCCAUGUAUCGACUAUGGAGCAGAUUUUAGCCACCAGCAUUAUCUCUCUAAUGUAGCAAGAGAGCAGGUUGAAGAUACAAGUCUUAUCUUCCUGAGGUAGCAAGGAAGCAGACUAAAAAUUACAGAUCUUAUCUCCAUGUAUCGACUAUGGAGCAGAUAAAAAAUGGUGAGUCUUAUCUCCAUGUAUCGGCUAUGGAGCAGAUUUUAGCCACUGGCCUUAUCUCUAUGAGGUAGCAGGAGAGCAGGUUAAAGACACCGACUUUAUCUUCCUGAGGUAGCAAGGAAGCAGACUGAAAAUUACAGAUCUUAUUUCCAUGUAUCAGCUAUGGAGUAGAUCGAAAAUGGUGAGUCUUAUCUCCAUGUAUCAGCUAUGGAGCAGAUUUUAGCCAACAGCCUUAUCUCUCUUAGGUAGCAAGAGAGCAGGUUGAAGAUACAAGUCUUAUCUUCUUAAGGUAGGAAGGAAGCAGACUGAAAGUUAUAGAUCUUAUCUCCAUGUAUUGGCUAUGUAGCAGAUCGAAAAUGGCGAGUCUUAUCUCCAUGUAUCGACUAUAGAGCAGAUUUUAGCCACCAGCCCUAUCUCUCUGAGGUAGCAAGAGGGCAGGUUGAAGACACCGGCUUUAUCUUCUUAAGGUAGCAAGGAAGCAGACUGAAAAUUACAGAUAUUAUCUCCAUGUAUCGGCUAUGGAGCAGAUUGAAAAUGGCGAGUCUUAUCUCCAUGUAUCGACUAUGGAGCAGAUUUUAGCCACCGACGUUAUCUCUCUGAGGUAGCAAGAGAGCCGGUGGAAGAUACAAGUCUUAUCUUCCUGAGGUAGCAAGGAAGUAGACUGAAAAUUACAGAUCUUAUCUCUAUGUAUCAGCUAUGGAACAGAUUUUAGCCACCUGCNNNNNNNNNNNNNNNNNNNNNNNNNNNNNNNNNNNNNNNNNNNNNNNNNNNNNNNNNNNNNNNNNNNNNNNNNNNNNNNNNNNNNNNNNNNNNNNNNNNNNNNNNNNNNNNNNNNNNNNNNNNNNNNNNNNNNNNNNNNNNNNNNNNNNNNNNNNNNNNNNNNNNNNNNNNNNNNNNNNNNNNNNNNNNNNNNNNNNNNNNNNNNNNNNNNNNNNNNNNNNNNNNNNNNNNNNNNNNNNNNNNNNNNNNNNNNNNNNNNNNNNNNNNNNNNNNNNNNNNNNNNNNNNNNNNNNNNNNNNNNNNNNNNNNNNNNNNNNNNNNNNNNNNNNNNNNNNNNNNNNNNNNNNNNNNNNNNNNNNNNNNNNNNNNNNNNNNNNNNNNNNNNNNNNNNNNNNNNNNNNNNNNNNNNNNNNNNNNNNNNNNNNNNNNNNNNNNNNNNNNNNNNNNNNNNNNNNNNNNNNNNNNNNNNNNNNNNNNNNNNNNNNNNNNNNNNNNNNNNNAAGUUCCUAAAACACAGCGAGUAUAGCAUUGUAGAACAUUUACACAAACAACCAGCGCGCAUAUCGGUGCUAGCUCUGCUCUUAAAUUCGGAGGUAUAUCGUAAUGCAUUGAUGAAUGUGUUGAACGAAACUUAUGUCACUGAUGACAUUUCGGUAAACAAGCUAGACCGUCUUAUCAUCAACAUAAGUGCCGACAAUUUCAUUUCUUUCAGUGAUGAUGAGAUACCGUCUGGGGGCAUGGGAUCCACCAAAGCUCUGCACAUCACCACUCGCUGCAAGGGGUAUACAUUACCGGGGGUACUAAUUGAUAAUGGAUCAGCAUUGAAUGUCUUGCCCCUAUCCACAUUGAAUAGGUUGCCAAUAGACAGUUCUCAUAUGAAGUCAUGCCAAAACAUAGUGAGAGCAUUUGAUGGCACCAAAAGGAAGGUAAUGGGAAGGAUUAAAGUGCCUCUUCUGAUCGGACCGAACACAUACGAGGUAGAUUUCCUAGUCAUGGAUAUCAAGCCUUCUUAUAAUUGCCUAUUGGGGAGGCAAUGGAUUCACUUAGUAGGGCCAAUACAAUCAUCAUUACACUAAAAGCUAAAGUUGGUGGCAAAGGGCCGACUAGUAACGAUAAACGCAGAAGAUGACAUUAUUGCAUGCGUCACUAGUGAUACGCCAUAUAUAGAAAAUAAUAAUGAGGCAACAGAGUGUUUAUUUCGAUCAUUAGAGUUUGUAAACGCAACUUUCAUCAUUGAAAGGGGCAGGGUCCCGAUGCAAAAAUAUCUGAGGCUAUGAGAAUAAGCUUGCAACUAACAGUGGGAAAAUGAGCAUUGCUUGGAAGGGGACUCGGAAAGUAUCUUCUUAGACGAGUUGAGGUGCCGAUUUUGGUUGAUAAACAGGAUCGCUUUGGCUUAGGGUAUAAGCCAGAUGCGAAGCAAAAGAGAAGGGAGAUGGAAAAGAGGCAAUAGAGACGAAGAGCCCGAUUGAGUGGGGUAAGGGUCAAAUGGGAGCCGAUGACUUUUCCCCAUAUUUCCAAUACAUUUGUGUCAGGAGGAAUUAUCUAUCCUGAGCCGAAGAUGACAGGAGAAGGAACGACUGAAGAUUUGAUGGAAAGUCUGAACAUCAACAUCAUAUCUAAAGAGAAUGUGAUGGAAGGAGACCUAGCAAGCAUUUGCCCUUAUGAGCUUUGAAGUGUUCUGAACAACUGGACUGUGGAAGAAAUUCUUGUAGUUUUUAGAGCUAAUACAGAGUAAUGUUAAAAACACACUUGUUUUUUAAAGCCUAGAAACAAUAAUAAUCUUUUGUGAAAUAGGCUCGUGUUCAAAACAUUUUUAUGUCAAUAUAAAUACUCCUUUAUAUCUUAUUCCGAGUAAAUAUUCUUUUACUUUAAGCAAAUAUUCUUUUAUUGCAUUUUAUAUUUAAUCAUGCCAUACAAAUACGCUAUUAUUAGAUUCUUUUAUUUUUCUUGGCUAUACUUUCAUGCCAACAAUAGGUCUCUAGAUAUCAAUGACAUGAGUGACGCUGUUAUAGACUCAGAGUUCCCUUUUGAGCGAGACAUGUGUCUGGAAGGAUCUCACGAUUUUGAAUAUGAUGAAGACUAUAGCUUACCUUCAGAUUUGUUAAGGAUGGUAGAGCAGGAAGAGAAACAGAUUUUACCCCAAAAUGAGACAGUCGAGAAUGUGACCUUAGAAUAAGGGAAUGAUGUGAACAUUGGAACUUGCAUAACUGAGGAAACAAGGCGGGACCUCAUUGAAUUACUGCAAGAGUUCAAAGAUAUCUUCGCGUGGUCGUAUCAGGACAUGCCUGGGUUAAGCGCUGAUAUUGCGGUGCAUCGCGUCCCCAUAAAGGAAGAGUGCAAGCCUGUUCAAUAAAAGCUUCGAAGGAUGAGACCCAAUGUUGCAGUAAAAAUAAGAUAAGAGGUCCGGAAGCAAUUUGAUGCUAGGUUAUUGCAAGUUGUUAAUUACUCAGAAUAGGUAACCAACGUUGUCCCCGUCCCUAAGAAAGAUAGAAAAGUACGGAUGUGCGUAGAUUACAGGAACUUAAACAAGGCUAGCCCAAAGGACAACUUCCCACUACAUCACAUCGACACUUUGGUGGACAACACAACAUGUUACUCACUGUUCUCUUUCAUGGAUGGUUUCUCUAGGUACAAUCAGAUAAAGAUUCAUCCUGAAGACAUAGAAAAAACCACAUUCAUAACCUUAUGGGGGACUUUCUGCUAUAUGGUGAUGUCAUUCGGGUUGAAGAAUGCAAAGAGCCAUAGUAACCUUGUUUCACGACAUGUUGCACAAGGAAAUUGAGGUCUACGUCGACGAUAUGAUCGUAAAAUCCCAAAUAGAAAAGGAGCAUAUACAAGUUUUGCGGAAAUUGUUCCUGAGGUUUAGGAAGUUUCAGCUAAAGCUCAAUCCAACAAAAUGUACUUUCGGAGCUAGGUCAAGAAAAUUGCUAGGUUUUAUAGUCAGCGAAAUGGGAAUUGAGGUCGACCCCGACAAAGUAAAGACUAUAUAAAUAUUGCCUCCACCGCGCACUCAUAAGGAAGUUUGAGGUUUCCUGGGAAGACUAAAUUACAUCGCCGAUUCAUUUCAUAACUGACUGAGAAAUGUGACCCCAUAUUUCGCCUUCUCAAGAAACACAACCCAGGUGUGUGAGAUGAUGAGUGCCAGAAAACCUUUGACAAGGUUAAACAAUAUUUGUCCAAUUCUCCAGUGCUAAUACCACAUAAUCCUGGUAAGCCAUUGAUAUUAUAUUUGACAGUAUUUGACAAUUCAAUGGGAUGUGUACUCGGUCAACACGAUGAAACGGGAAAGAAAGAAAGGACGAUAUAUUACCUCAGUAAGAAAUUCACUGAGUGUGAAAUGAGAUACUCGUCAAUUGAGAAAUUAUGUUGUGCCUUAGUUUGGACCACUUGGAGAUUGAGGCAGUACAUGUUAUACCACACGACUUGGUUAAUCUCAAAACUGGACCCUCUAAAAUAUAUGAUGGAGUCAACUGAUUUGAGUGGAAGCUUGGCCCGAUGGCAAAUUCUGCUUUCUGAAUUCGACAUAGUUUAUGUGAACCAGAAGGCUGUGAAAGGGAGUGCAAUAGCAGAUUUUCUAGCUAGUAGAGCUUUAGAAGAUUACGAGCCUUUAAAUUUUGAUUUCCCUAAUGAAGAUCUAAUGUAUGUGGCAACUACUGAAGAAGACAUUCCAGAAGAUCAUCAUUGGAAACUGAAUUUUGAUUGGGCGUCAAACGCUGUUGGUAAUGGGAUUGGGGCAGUCUUGAUAUCCCUAAAUGGAGAUCAUUUUCUAUUCACUUGUAAAUUGGAUUUUGAUUACACAAACAAUAUGGCAGAAUAUGAAGCAUGUAUCAUGGGAAUCCGUGCAGCCAUCGAACGGAAAAUCAAAGUACUGGAGAUAUAUGGGGAUUCUGCGCUAGUAAUCUAUCAGCUUAAGGGUGAAUGGGAAACAAGGGACCCAAAUUUGAUUAACUAUCGAGAGCUAGUUCUGGAUUUAAUUAGGGUGUUUUAUGAUAUCACUUUCUAUUAUCUCCCGCGAAAUGAAAACCAAACGGAUGACGCCUUGGCUACGUUAGCUUCUUUGAUCAAAGUAAAUAAGCAGGAGGACAUGAAGCCGAUCCAGAUGAGUAUUUGUAAGGCUCUAGCUCAUUGAUGCAAUAUUAAUGAAGAAGAGGAGAGAGACGAUUGUCUUGGUAUCAUGAUAUUCUACGAUAUGUGAAGAAUUGUGAAUACCCUGAUCAGGCAACAAAAAAUGAUAAGAGAAUGCAAAUGUCUCUCUCCAAUCUCCAUAUCCUAAACCAUAAAAGUAGAAAAUAAGAAAACAAUUCAAUCCUUGAUUGGACACAACAUUUUUUGACUUUUUUUUAUGGACAAUUACAUAUCUCGAAAUGAGUAUAAAUUAUUUAAUUAAUUUAAUUAAAUUAAAAUUUUUGUUGAUUUUUUUUUCCAAUUUAUAAAAAAGAUUAAGAGAUGGUAAUAUUUUUAUUUUUAGAUAAUCUUAAAAAUGAAUUUUUAAAUAUUUAUGAUAAAUGAGAUGGUUGUUUUUAAAUUCAAAAAGAGAAUGAAAUGUAGGUUGUGGUGGUAUGCAAAAGAAUACUAUAUUAAAUAAACAAUGACGGUACCCAUCAAAAUCAGUGGACGUGCCGGAGUGGUUAUCGGGCAUGACUAGAAAUCAUGUGGGCUCUGCCCGCGCAGGUUCGAAUCCUGCCGUUCACGCUUUUGUACUGUAUUUUUAUAUUCUUGGUCCUGAAAUCAUUUUCCAUCUCAUUCUUCUUCAUUCCUUCUCCUUCUUUUGUUCUUCAUCUUCUUACUCUCGCAUAUCUUCUCUUCUCAGGCUGCUGUUUCGUUUGCUCUCUUCUUUCUCAGGCAAAUCGAGGUUCCACUUCGCUGGGUCUUUCUCAGGGAAACGAGAAACCCCAAGUUCUAUGAGUAGCGAAUCCCUCCAUUGUCGCUGUAAAUUGAAAAGCCAACCUCUACCCUUCCUCUUUUGUCACAUACAAGAAAUCUAAGUCUGUCUGUACAAUCCCUCACCACACCAUUAUUACAUCCCCUCUGCAAAUCUUUUGUUUUAUUAGACCAAAUAGAUCGCAAAGGAGUUAAGUAAUGGGGGCUGGGCGAGAAGUACCAAUAUCACUUGAUGGAGUGAGGGGCAAGAACGUGAUGCAGCUGAAGAAGCUCAACACAGCUCUCUUCCCUGUUCGUUACAACGAUAAGUACUACGCCGAUGCUCUCGCUUCUGGGGAAUUCACCAAGCUUGGUUUGCUCCGUUUUUCCUAAUCUUUUUCUGGGUUUUCAUUUUUUUUUUCUUUUUAAAGUUGUUGAACUCUUUUUGGUUGGUCCAAUGUUGUUUGGCAUUUUCUUUGCACUGUUUUUUUUUUUCUUUUGUGUUCUUUAGUAUAUGCCAUCUAUUGGGAAUUUUAUUGUUGUUCUCUUUCCCUCUGCCUAUGUAGUUAGUAUCCUAUUAUGGGAAUUUAUUUUGUUGGUUUUGAUUUCUGCGUUUGAUUUUGGCUUUUUGGUUCUUUGAGUCGGAAGAUUGAUGGCCUUUUAUGGGCUAGUUUGAUUUAUAUUGGCAUUUGAUUAUACAUGAUUGGAAAAUGGUUUAAUAUGUAUAGAUUCUCCAAGACUAGAAACUUUAUCCUUGAUGUUUCAAGUUACUGAAUGACCUACACAUGAGUGACCUUCGAUACCGUUAACAUGUUUUCGGUUAUCAGUUUAGUGUCUUCUCAUGUGAUCAUUGGUAGAAGCAAUUCCUUGUUGGAUUAGAUAGUUUAGGUUAGAUAACCCGACCUAUAUUGAAUUGCUUGAUCUAUUUAUUGUGUUUUGGUUUCAAUGGUCAAUAUUCUGGGCUUAUUAAACUCUAAAAAUGCAUGUCACCAGUCAUCCUCAUGAAAACAUGCCUCAAAAACACUCUUUGCUUCUGCUGUUGUGCUUGUGCUGCCUUACACUCGAAUAUUUAUGUUACCAAUCUUAGCUGGUCCAGUCACCUUUUCUUCCAUGAUCUUCUGCAUAUUGUGUAACAUUAAUACAUCCUUCCUUAUCCUGCAUUGCUUUUACACUGUUAAAUAGCGGGUAGUAGCUGAAGUUUCUGGCGAACUUUAGAGUCAUAAAAACCCUGGCUAAAGACUUCCUGAUUCUGAAAUUUGCUGCCUUGCAUUGGAGGGCACCUAUUGAGCUUGAUGGUCUACAUCUUUUCACAGAAACUGUAGAAAUUUCAAAACCUGUUACUUUUUGGAGAGAAGUUAUCUUAUCGUUUCCUUCUGUCUUGGUAACUGCAUAUUUGUUUUAUUUUCUCCUUAAUCUUCAAGUCAUGCUCUAAGAAAUACACUCAAUUGAAGUUUGGAGCAACUCUAUCCUCUUUUAACUCUAUGAUCUUAUGAAUGUGCAGAGCAUGUUUGUAAUGUCCCUGUCAUAGUGGCUUCAUCAUAUGAUAUCAAUUACUAUGUUACACAUUGAUGGUUAGAAAGCUGUAAUUAAUUAUUUUUUAUUCAAUUUGAUGGCUCGGAAUAAAUUGUUUGUGGUGACGCAUGCAUAUUCACGUAACAGAUGAUGUGAUUGUUAUACAUAGCUAUUACAUGAGUUGAGACCUGAUGAGAGUAAGUUGGAGAAUAGCCUGUGUUAUCCAAAAAUUAGUAUUUUGUUCUAACAAUCACUCUUUUGCAUGCUAACUCAGCAUAUUACAGUGACAUCUGUGUCGGAUCAAUUGCUUGCCGGCUGGAAAAGAAGGAAGGUGGGGCCAUCCGUGUGUACAUCAUGACAUUGGGUGUUUUAGCACCAUAUCGUGGGCUAGGAAUUGGUGAGUAGACAAACAACAUUUCCUUGGAAUAGGUCAUGCAAGAAACUAAUUGCUAAUUGGAUGAUCUUAGUAUUGUCCUUUAACAUUGUCAAUACCUAUAAUUUGAAUCGGAUCACUUCGGGUUUCACUUGCGCUCUUAAAAUAUCUGCACAUGUUCAGUGGCACAAUAAUGGUUGUCUUUUGCAAAUUGCAAUGAGGUCAACGAUGAAGAAAUGUAGAGUGUAACUAAACUGCCUCAGCAUGUUUUUGCUGAAAAAUUAUGUUCUCAUUGAUUCUAAAUAGAAGCCAUAGUUCGUUAAAAAUCUUUAAUUUAUGCAGGUACAAGGCUAUUGAACCAUGUUCUUUAUCUCUGUUCUAAGCAAAACAUACCGGAAAUCUACUUGCAUGUUCAGACAAACAACGAAGAUGCCAUCAACUUCUAUAAGAAAUUUGGAUUUGAAAUCACAGAGACAAUUAAGAAGUAUUACACAAACAUUGACCCUCCCAGACUGCUUUGUACUUACCAAGCUCACCGUUACAUCACAAGCUAAGAAAUAACAAUUAAAAGCUGGUAAUGUUAUCUAGAGGAAUUGGUUAUUGUUAUCUUAGUGAAUUUGAUCAAUUCCUAUACUUGUCGGAAUUAUUUUGACAAUAAGGAUGCUGUGAUGCAUGAAUGACAUGAGAUAUGGCGUUAAUGAUGCCAGUUAUGAUUGGUUUUUAUCUUUUGAGCUGAAAUUUUGUUAGUCUUGUUCAACACUUUCGUUGGUCAAUGUGACCAUUGCCAGUUAAUGUCAUUAAAUGAUUUUGUUGCUCCAGCAAAAUGCAAUCACUACAUUUCUCCGAAUUUGAUACAAUUGGUAUGGUUUAUGUGAAUGUUAAAUUAGGUAUUGGAAGAUAUUCGGUAUCUGUUGAGUUUUGGCCUGUUUCAACCCUUUAAGGGAUUGAUCAAUAUUUUCAAUUUUCACUAAUUUACUUGUAGCAAAACAUUUGUAUUUAUUUAUUUAUAAAUAAAUCAUUGCAAUAUAUGUAAAAAUAAUUUAAAAUAUGAAUUUAUUAAUAUAUGUAAAAAGAGCUUUUCCGGAAAAUAUUUUCAGGAAAUCUGUCAAAAAAUAAAAAAAUAUUUUACACAGAUUCAUUCAAACACCAGAAAAGUAAAUAAUAUUUCGGAGCCUAAAAACAAAUAUUUUACUGGCAAAUAAAGGGAUCCUAAAACUUCAAAUCUCCAAAACAAAAAAACAUGGGAAGAAUUUGAACAUAAAUGGAGAACAAGCCAAUCCACUUCUCAAGUCACAUUAGGAUUUCAAUUUUUCAUGGAAAGAUGUAAUAGAAACCAAUAAAUUGAAUGUAAAUAGUGAAGGGUUCAUCCCCAAAUCCAAAGGAACCAAAAACAAACCAUCAAAAACCUUAUCUUUGGUGAUUUUGUUCAUUUCUUUACUAUCAUUGUCUCUAUUGUUUUUAUAAAUUUAUAAAUUUAUGUUAUAUUAACCUUUACCCGACAAAAAUAAUUCUUUCAAAAAAGCAAUUUCCGUAUUUAGGAAUUCGAGAAAAUCGUGCCCUAACUUACUAGGUUUCGGUUUUUCUCAUUUAACCUAAAUAACGGAAUAUUCUUUUAAAAUCGCAAUACAAGUUUUGAAUAAAAUGCUUAUUCUCAGAGAUAUAAGGUGUUAUGCCCUAACUUACUGGAUAUGAUAUCUUGUUCCCUCAAGAUAAGAUUUUUUGCAAAUAAAGACAAUAUUCUGUGUUUGAGAAUUCGAGAAAAUGUGCCCUAACUUACUGGGUUUUGAUUUUUCUCAUUUACCCUAAAUAACUGAAUAUCCUUUUAAAAAAGGGGUUAAAAUACAUGAAUUUUAAAUAAAAGGCAAGCUCAUUCUUGAAGGCUCAAGAUGUCGUGUCCUAACUUACUGGAUGUGACAUUUUGUUACUUCUAGAUGAGAAGGUUUUUGACAUCUGUUUCAAGUUAUUCAAUCAUUUUUCAAUUAACGUUAAUACAAAGAGGGAUCGUAUUUUAAAUUCUUUCAAGUUUUCAAAUCUUUGACACUAAGACACUGACUAAUCAACUAGGUACAAAUUUUGGGCGUAUCGAGGGUGCUAACCUUUCCUUGUACGUAACUGACUCCCGAACCUGUCUUUCUGAGUUUCGUAGACCAAAAUUAUUGUUUUGAUAAAUCAAACUGAUUAUUAAAAACAACCACUUUUCGAGGUGACCUGAUCACACCUCAGCAAAAAGGAUUGGUGGCGACUCCCUUUUUUUGUUUUCUUUUUUUAAAAUCCAAGUCGACCGUCGAUUUUCAAAAAAUGGUUUCGACAGCUUGGCGACUCCGCUGGGGACUUAAAAAAGAGAGCCAAGCCACAAGUUGAUUAACUUUUGUCUUUUUACCGAAAAUUGAAAACUUGGUUUAAAUGUACGAUCCUUUCGUUGCAUUUUAUCUGUCUUUGUUACAAUCUUCAUCAUUAUGGUUUCUAAUUGCUGUAUUGGUUUAAAUUUUGGUAUCUUUUUGCUCAUUGUAUUGCAUGAUCGGUUGAUUUUCCCCUUUUAAGUGGGAGUGAGAAAUUAUUCCUUCGUGAGGUUUUCACUUCCAUGUAGGAUAAUAGAUCGCUUUCGGGAUACAUCCGUACCUAUAUCUUCGUGGGAUUUUUAUCUUCGUGAGAUUUUUAUCUUCGUGCGGCCAUAGGGAAAUGUAUUCCCCUUAACUGAACUCGGUCUAUAUGAGCCUAUAAUGGGUGAGGAUCAAGGAAUCUGCUGGUUCAGGUACCUUUACUUUAGAAACGAGCCGCAUAUAGUGAGCCGUAGGAACCCUCCUUAGGUAGAACUACACCAAACCCUAGCAGUUACCCGAAUAGGUGCUUAACUACUUCUUGUUUGCUUUGAGUUCUAUUUUAUGUAUAUAAUACUGACUUGUUGUGUUUUCCUGUUAUUGCAUGGCAUUGCAUUAUAAAAAGGUGUUGAUUCACAUUUGAUUUUUAGAUAGAAAAACUUAGCAUGGAAAAAAGAUUUCUUGAUAGAGUGGAAGAAAAUGCGACCGUCCGAAUAUGGUUCGAAAAGAUGCAGUAAGAGAAAGGUGAUAGUUUGACUAAGGGAUACGAGUCAGAAUUAUGGGAUUUUACUCGCAUCAGUGUGGUUCAAAAUGCCCUACAAGAAUUAAAAGAGAUAUGGAACAGUUGGAACGACGAGAUCAAGCAGUCAUUUUAUCAUAAUUAUGGAGACUUACCCUAUUUACUCGAGGUGAAAGUAGACAAACGCUUAUUCUGAGCUCUCGCCCAAUUUUGGAACUCCGCUUACAGCUGCUUCACUUUUGGGAGAGUUGAUUUGGUACCUAUCGUGGAAAAGUAUAUGGCCUUACUUCGUUGCCCAAAGGUUAAAGUCAACAAGGCCUAUUCCAGAGCUGCUAAAGUCCCGACCUUUGUAAAAAGACUGAUAAAUAUCACGGGGAUGAGCGAACAAUGAGUUGCAGCCCAAAUUAAGAAAAAAGAAGACGGUGCUUGUAUUCCUUGGAAGAACUUGAGAGAUCUAAUUCUAGCACAUCUGAAUAUGAAGAAGAGGGUUGAUAUUUUCACUUUGAGCAUCUACGGUUUGGUCAUCUUUCCCAAGACAUUAGGAUACGUAGAUGAAGCAGUCUCAGAUCUAUUUGAUUGACUUGAUAAAGGGGUCACACCUGUCCUUGUAAUCUUGGCCGAAACGUUUAGAUCAUUGAAUGUUUGCUGGAGAGCGGGUGAAGGCAGAUUUAUAAGAUGUGCGCAACUUUUGCUAUCAUGGUUCCAUAGCCACUUUUGGAGGGUGAAAAAGGUCUCAUAUCGAGUUUUUUUUCUGAAAACUACUCUCCAUUGAAGGAGUUAGUGGCUACACCAAGGCGGGAUAACCUUCUCGAAGAGAAAUGGAUAGCGAUUCUCCAGAAUUUUCAAGUUAAAGAUGUUGAAUAGAGGGCCCUAUGGAUGAUCCCCAAUGAGAUCUUAUAUCGGUGUGGUGACUUUGACUGGGUCCCUCUACUUGGGAUAUGGGGAGCCGUUGGAUACACUCCACUACUUGUGUUAAGACAAUAUCGAUCAAGGAAGUUCAUACCGGUGACACAAGGGUUGGCUCAGCGCGAGUUCUCAUAUAAGGACAAUAAUUAUAGAAAGAGAGUCCGUGAGAUAUCGAAUGCUUGGAACCAAAAUCAUAGGUUAAAAGGAUUUGUUGUAAGCCCAAUGACGACCCCCGAGUAUGACUGGUGGUAGAGUUAAAGAAUCAACGACAACAUUAUAAUGCCAAGUCAAGAAAAUGCUCAGCCGAUAGAAGAGCAUUUACAAGUAGUCCUGUCCGAGCUAGAGAUCAUCAAGCAAGACUUUGAGAAAAUGAGCUCGGAGUUGGGAAAAAAGAUAGAGCAGUUAGAAGAGGAAAAGAUGAAGUUGGGACUAAACUCCGAUAUCCAUAAGCUAGAGGCCGAAAAAUUGAGGAAACAAAAGAACAAGGCCGAGGAAGAUUUGGAUAGUCUGAAAACUUAUUACAAGAAGCUGCAUAUGUUGAUAAGAAUUGCAGGUUUGGGUAAAACGUCGGAGCAGUGACGUCAAAAAAUUAAAGAAGAAAAGAAUAAACCGAUCAUUGGGAGAAGAAGUUUCAAGAUGUUCGAAUGUGGAAGGACGUUUUGAAAAAGAGUUUGUUGGAAAGUGAUACGUGAUAUUCGUGAUAGGUUUUAAAUAUUUAUAAUGAACCAUUCUUGAAACUAACUAUUAUCACGAUGAAGGCAAGUGUACCUAUCUAACAGUAGUAUAGCUUUAGCAAGAUCGGAUUAUCGAACCCAAAUGAACUAAAAGUACUAGUAUCAACUUUCUUUUUAUUAUCUAGCCUAAAAAAAUAAAAGGGUUUUGUUUAUCUAACUAAUUAAUUAAACUAAGAAAUCACAGAAAAAAAUUUGGGGAAAAUACUUUUUGGAAAACUCGAUUGAUUAAGACAAUACCUAAAGAAAAAUCGACCUAGACUUCACUUGUUAUUUGACUCUGAAUCAGAUGAUUUAUUCAUUCAACUUGUUCCGUAGAGAUCCCUAAGUUAUAUUAUUAUCUCUCUCGAGACUAACAACAUCUAACCCUAGAUUGAAUAAUAGAAAUCUCUUUCUAAUUAAUGUCCUAGAGUUGCAUUAACUCGAUCUAUGGAUCCUCUUAUUAGGUUUCACCCUAAUCUGGCAAAAUCAUGUCUCCUUAUCUCUAGGCGCACAAUCAACUCCGCUUAAUUAUGACAAAUUUACUCUUAGACAGGGUCUAUUCCUCCUCUGAAUAAGAGCUUAACUUGAAUCAAUAUCCUGGAAUAUCAAAACAAGAAUUAAGAACAAGUCAAAUAUUUAUCAUACAAUUCAGAUAAUAAUAACAAGAUCCGUGUUAGGUUUCAUCACCCUUAGGUAUUUAGGGGUUUUGAGUUCAUACUAAUGAAAAAAACAUCUCAAAAGAUAAAAAUAACAAAACAUAAGAAAACCCAAAACUCCUGAGGGAAUUUGAAGGGAGAUCUUCAGUCUUGAUGGUAAAUCCGGCUUCUGAGAUGGAUUGAUUGGCUUUCCUUGAGCAAUUCCUUACUCCCUCCUCUCUGUCCCCUGUCCAAGUGCCUCCUCAGGUGUUUAAAUAGGCUUUAGAAUGCCUAAGAGCCCUCAAAAUUGACCUUUUUUGAAUUGGAAUAAACUUGGGCUCGGCAGGGACACGCCCGUGUGCGAUUGCUUAAGGCUGUGGUCAAGGCUGUUAAAUGGGCACGAGCGUGUGAUCUACCCGUGUAAAUCGUUCUUUGACCUUGCCAAAGGGACACGGCCGUGUAGUCUGCCCAUGUGAGGAAGUCCAGGCCGUGUUGACUUCAUACGUUGGCUUAUUUUCUCUGUUUUUUGCCCGUUUCUCAUUCCUUUCACUCUCCUAUGCUCACCUAAGUAUAAAACAUGAAAUUAAGGCAUUAGGAGCAUCGAAUUCACCAAUUUUAAGGAAAAAUCAUUGAUCGCGUAGUUUCCUGAUAGGUUUUAAAAAUUUAUAAUUACUCGUUCUUGAACUAACUAUUAUUGCGAUGUAGGCAAGUGUACAUAUCGAACAGUAGUACAGUUUUAGCAAGACCGGAUUGUCGAACCCAAAGGAACUAAAAGUACUAGUAAUGACUGUCUUUUUAUUAUCUAGCCUAAGAAUAAAGAGGUUUUUGUUUUAAUUAACUAAUUAUCUAAACUAUGAACUCACAGAGAAAAGAAUUGAGGAAUUUGCUUUUGGGGAAAAUCGAUUGACUUAAGACAAUACCUAAAGAAAAAUCCACCUAGAUUUUACUUGUUAUUCUGGCUCCGAAUCAGACGAUUUAUUCAUUCGACUUGUUCCAUGGAGAUCCCUAAGUUAUGUUAUUAUCCCUAUUCAAGACUAAUAACUUCUAAUCCCUAGACUGAAUAACUGAGACUUUUCUCUAAUUAACACUCUAGGGUUGCAUUAACUCGAUCUAUGGAUCCCCUUAUUAGGUUUCACCCUAAUCUGGCAAAAUCUUCACCCUAUUUCUAGGCGCGCAAUCAACUCCGCUUAAUUAUGACAAAUGUACUCUUAGACAGGGUCUAUUCCCCCUCUGAAUAAGAGCUUAUCUUGAAUCAGUAUCCUGAGAUAUCAAAACAAGAAUUAAGAACAUAUAAUUAAGAACAAGUUAAAUAUUUAUCAUACGAUUCAGAAAAUAAUAACAAGAUUUGUCUUAGGUUUCAUUCCCCUUAGGUAUUUAGGGGAUUUAGUUCAUAACUAAAUAAGAAAACAUCUCAAAAUGAUAAAGAAUAAAAAAACAUAAAGAAAACCCAAAACUCCUGAAGGGAAAUUGAGGAAAGAUCUUCAGUCUUGAUGAUGAAUCCGGCUUUUGAGAUGGAUCAAUCGAUUUCCUUAGAGUAAUUCCUUACCCCCUAUUCUCCGUGUGUCAUUUUCUUCCUCCUCUAUGGUGUAUUUAUAGGCUUUCGAAUGCCUAAGAGCCCUCAAAAUUAGCCUUUUUUGAAUUAAACUCAACUUGGGCUCGGCAGGGACACGUCCGUGUGACACGUCCGUGUUCGAUUACUUCGAGUCGUGUUCGAGCCUACCCAAUUGACACGGCCGUGUGGUCUAUCCGUGUGAGGGGGUCCAGGCCGUGUUUAUUUCGUACUUUGGCCCAUUUUCUCUGUUUUUAGCCCGUUUCUCGUUCCUUUUGCUCUCCUAUGCUCUCCUACGUAUAAAACAUGAAAUUAAAGCAUUAUGAGCAUCGAAUUCACCAAUUCUAAUGGGAAAUCAUCCAAAAAAUGCAUUAAACAUGGGGUAAAAAUGUAUAAAUUACGGUUUAUUAAUCAUCUAUAAAAUAUGCUAAGCAUGGGAUAGAAAUAUGUAUAAAUUAUGGUUUAUCAGAAAGCCAAAGCGAAAAAGAGAGGUUACGAGCUUAGGUGGUCGAAUUGGAAAAAUCACUACAUCAGCAUCGCAGUCGUAACUCCGUAAUUAAAUUAAAGGCCAGUCUAGGCAAGAUCGAUGAGUUGAAAAAAAAAAUUGAGGAACUCGAGACUGCAAUACAAGAUUGUCAAAUUUGAGUGGAACUCCUUAAGGCAAACAAUGAACAUUGCAAAGAAUAACUUCACCACUCUCAAGAUCAUAUCAGAAAUAGAGAUUAUGUCAUGGGCGAGGCUGUGGCUCAAGUUCGAGAGGUAGCCGAUCAUUUGCAAACCUUGGCAGUUCAGCCUGAUAUAUUAAGCUUAAAGUACGAAUCAAAAUCAGAUCGAGGCCGAGACUUAGCUUAGCUUCUUAGGAAGAUUAAGGCUUUGGGCAUUAGGGCAAAGUUGUAUAUGUAAUCAUCCGCUCUAUGUAAAGAAAUUUUUUCUUCUAGUAAAGUUGUUCUAAUGAAAUUGAAUCAGAAUCAAUAUCUUUUUGCAUUCAUUUCAUUCAUUUUGCAUCACAUUUCAUCAUAUGCAUUAAAUUUCACGAAAAAACCCUAAUUAAACCAAAUUAUUUCAGUUAAUCUGAAAAUCAACAAGAGUCAACCAACUAAAUACCGCUACAAUACCCGUCACAAAACUAAAGCAAUGGAUCAGAGAUUAGAAAGACUAAAAUAAAUGCAAAGGGAUAUGCAAGAGCAAUUGCAAGUACAGAUGCAAUAGCAGUUAGCUAAAAUACAACAAGAUAUGAGGGACCAAAUGCAAGAGUCCCAAAAUAAUAUGAUAAGCCAAUUGGCGCAGUUGCUAGUCAGAGAACGCGAAAAAGGGAAGAAUACUGCGAACGAAAAUGAGGAUCCUAUCUACCCCCGGGCUUUACUCCAAUUAACGCCCAGACACCACCAGAAGUAUACCCACGAGGGAUACCUGUUACUAUCAGGCCUCAACAGCAUCAAACCGAUACCUCGGCACCAAUGAACUAUCAAACAGGCUCGGGCUCCAAUCCUUGGGAUAACCCAACCAAUCCCGUUGUUCCUGAUCUUGAUAAUGUAGCAGAGAUGGAGAAAAUAAGAGUGGAACUGCCAAAACAACUAGAGGAUCGAUACAGAUGGCUGGAAGAAAAACUCAGAACAAUGGAGAUUGCUGAUUACCAUUGCAGGAUGGACGCCAAAGACCUAAUUUUGGUCCCCGAAUUUAAUGCUCCCUCCUAAGUUCAAAACUCCAGAUUUUAAGAAAUAUAAUGGAACUAGUUGUCCAAAAGCUCAUAUCACCAUGUUCUGUCGAAGGAUGGCAGGGUACAUUCACAAUGAUCAACUGUUGAUCUAUUACUUCAAGGAUAGUUUGGUUGGGUCUGCGGCCAAAUGGUACAACCAACUAAACCGUGCUCAAAUCCAUUCAUGGAAAGACUUGGCACAAGCUUUCAUAAAGUAAUACAACCACGUGAUAGACAUAGCACCCGAUCGAAUCACGUUACAAAACAUUGAGAAAAAAUAAAAUGAAAGCUUCAGGCAGUAUACUCAAAGAUGGAGAGAGGUGGUGACGCAAGUCCAACCACCUCUUCUGGAGAAAGAAACGACCAUGCUCUUUAUCAAUACUCUGAAGGCUUCAUUCAUUAACCACAUGCUGGGAAGCGCUACUAAGAGCUUCUCAGACAUAUUAAUGUCUAGAGAAAUGAUAGAAAACGUGAUAAGAUACAGGAAGAUUGAAGUAGGGAAAAUGUCGAGAAAUCAGCCCCGAAAAGGAAAGAAAAUGAGGUGAACAACACGAACGUGUACAAUAAGAGUUAUUCUAAGCCAGUCACCGUAAGCCAACCGAGGGCAAUGACUACUAGCCAUCAGGGCUCCACAAGACAAGAUUCCAACCCAAAGCCUAAUACAGAAAAAGUCAAAUUCACGUCUAUCCCGAUGUCAUACAGGGAAUUGUAUCAGAGCUUAUUCGAUGCCCAUGUGGUGUCACCUUUCUACUUGAAGCCUAUACAACCCCUGUUUCUUAAACGGUAUGACACAAACGCCCAAUGUGAAUACCACGUAGGAGUAACGAGGCAUUCGAUUGAGAACUGCACAGCGUUCAAAAAGUUGGUAGAAAGAUUUAUCGAAAUAGGUAUCGUAAAAUUUGGCGACCCACCAGGACCUAACGUAGUAGAAAAUUUGUUAUCUGAUCUUGCUAAUAAAGGGGUAAACGCGAUAGUCGAGAGUGGGAGCAAAAGAAUCAAGGCCGACAUGACAGAAGUAAAAAACCCCAUUGAGUUAGAUUUGGAAACAAAUGAUCGAUGAAGGUCUGAUCGCACAACAUUCAGGGGAAAGGCCCAGAGAAGCGAGAAAAUACUAUGAGUUUCACGCCGAUGAGAGCCAUGACAUCUAAGAAUGUAAUAAGUUCAAGUCCAUAGUGCAAAAUCUGAUGGACAAUAAAGAGAUGGAAUUUUAUGAAGAAAUUAAAGGAUCAGAAGAAUGGGAGGUUUACGCCUCAGAAGAGGGAACAACAGAAGGGGUUCAAAAAGUUAAUCACCUUGUAGUGAUCAUUUCGCGACCAAGGAAAAAUGAAGCAAAAAUACAAAUGGCGCCGAGAGUCAUAAUUCAAAAACCUGUAUCCUUUCCUUACAAUGAUAGCAAAAGGGUUCCCUGGAACUAUGUCUGCAAUGUGACAAUCCCAGGAGAGGAGAAUCCGGCUAGUGUUUCAGAGGAGAGCCAAGAUGUAGGUUUCUAUACAUGUAGUGGAAGACGUUAUGAUCCUGUGGGUACAAGAAUCGAAAUUUUCAAAGAAAGGGCUUCAAUAGUCGAGCAGAGGAAAAAGAAAACGGUUAAGCUCGAAUCACCAAUUAACGAGCCAAUGACUGAAAAAGAGGCUAGAAAAUUCUUGAAAUUCUUGAAGCACAGCGAAUACAGUAUGGUAGAACAGCUACAUAAGCAGCCAGCUCGUAUAUUAGUGUUAGCCUUACUCUUGAGCUUCGAGACACAUCGGAGCGCGUUAAUGAAAGUGCUAAACGAAACUUAUGUCGCGGAAGACAUAUUUGUCAACAAGCUGGACCGUUUGGUCAACAAUAUCAGUGCCGAUAAUUUUAUUUUCUUUAAUGAUGAUGAAAUACCACCAGGAGGAAUGGGAUCCACAAAGGCUCUACAUAUCACCACUCACUGUAAGGGAUAUACAUUGUCGGGAGUAUUAAUUGAUAAUGGAUCGGCACUAAAUGUCCAGCCCCUAUCCACACUGAAUAGGCUACUAGUGGAUAGUUCCCAUAUGAAAACAUGCCAAAACGUAGUGAGGGUAUUUGAUGGCACUGAAAGGAAAGUAAUAAGGAGGAUUGAAAUACCCCUUCUGAUCAAUCCAAGCAUGUACGAGGUAGAUUUCUUGGUAAUGGACAUCAAGCCCUUAUACAAUUGCUUAUUGGGAAGGCCAUGGAUUCACUCAGCGGGAGCAGUGCUGUCAUCGUUACAUCAAAAGCUUAAAUUUAUAACGGAAGGCCGAUUGGUGACCAUAAAUGCGGAAGAAGAUAUCAUUACAUCCGUUAACAACGAUGCACCAUAUGUGGGGACAGAUGACGAAACCAUAGAAUAUUCUUUUCGGUUAUUAGAAUUUGUAAAUGCGACCUUCAUUGUCGAAGGAAAUAAGGUCCCGACGUCCAAAAUCUCUAAAACUACAAUGAUGGACCUACAACUAACAGUUAGGAAAGGAGCUUUGCCGGGAGAGAGCUUGGAAGAAGCCUACAAGGAAGGAUCAAAGCACCCAUACUCAUGGAAAAACGAGAUCACUUUGGUUUAGGAUUCAAGCCAGAUGCAAAGCAAAAGAAAAAUGAGCAAGAGAAGAAACAAGAAAGGAGAAGAGUGCGUUUAAGCGGGGAAGAGGUUAAAUGGGAGCCAAUAACCUUUCCUUACAUAUCUAGAACAUUCGUGUCAAAAGGGACUAUUUAAUCCGAAGGAAGAUCGAUAGGGAAAGGGUUUACAGAAGAAAUGUUGGAAAACUUUAGCAUUAACGCCAUAUACGAGGAAAAAACGAGAGAAGAGGAUCAAUUAGGCAUUUACCCAUACAUACCGGGGAGCGUUUUGAACAAUUGGACCAUGGAGGAGAUCCCUGUAACUUUUAAAAUUAAUUCAGAGUAAUGUCCAAAACAAGCUUAUUGUUCUAAGCCUAGGGGAAAAAAGAAUCCUUUUGUGAAAUAAGCUCUUGUCCAGUAUUGUUAUUUCAAUAAGAAUACAUCUUUACAUAUCAUCUUGAGCAAAUAUUCUUUUAUUCUUUCCAUUUCAUUCAUAAUCAUACCACCAAUAAAUAUUCUUAGAUUCUUUUAUUCUUUGGACUUUUCUUAUCCUUAUAACAGGUCUCCAGAUAUCAAUGAUAUGAGUAACACUGCUACUGACUUAGAGUCUCCUUUUGAGCAAAAUAUGUGUACGGAUGAUUCUCAGAACUUUGAAGAUGACCAAAAUUGUAUCUAUCUCCCGAUUUGUUAAGGAUGGUAGAACAAGAAGAGAAACAAUGUAACACCCCUUACCCGAGACCGUCACCGGAAUCUAGUACGAGAUGUUAUCCAAUUUAACUUACCAAUUCGGAGCAUAAAAAAAUUGCUUUUAAAAUUAAAUUCACUGUUCACAACAAAACUAUCUACCUGCGUGACUUUCACUAAUUUAAUUAUAACUCGAGUUACAGAACUCAAAAUUUAAAUCCGUAAAUUUUUCCUGAAACUAGACUCAUAUUAAUACUUACCAUAAAAUUUUCAGAAUUUUUGACUUGGCCAAUUAGUACAGUUUAUUCAUUAAAGUAUCCCCUGUUUCACAGCUCGACAGAUCUGACCUCUCGGCACUAAAAAUCAAUUAUCUCUUUGUACAGAAUACAUAUAAGGUUAUCGUUUUUUUCUUUUGAAAAUAGACUAACUAAGAAAUCUACACAUAUAAAUUAUGACCCAUAAUUCUUUCUGUACAAUUUAUAAUGAUUUUCUAAAGUCAGAACAGGGGACUUCAAAAACCAUUCUGACCCUGUCUCACUAAAAUUCAAAUAUCUCAAAAUACAGAAUUCCUUUUCCUACAUCGUUUCUUUCAUAUAAAAAUAGACUUGAUAAGAUUUAAUUCCAUAUAUAAUUCACUCUCUAAUUCCAUUUCUACUAUUUAUGGUGAAUUUUUACAUUCACGUCACUGCUGCUGUCAAAGAAACUGCUUCUUUGAAUUAGUUACCAUUUACACAUACAUAAUACCAAAACAUAAUCUUUACUAACCAUUUCAAUAGCUAAUCUUAGCCAUAUCAUUUGAACAUGCUCAAAAUGAUUAAGACUCUAUACAUGCCAUAGUUCAAACAUUUUGAAAAGCACAUAAUACCGAGAUGGCUAUGAUAGUGUGAUACGAGCUCCGACGGUCCACUAUUCGAUCAAGUUCAAAUCACUAUAAAACAAAGGAAAGAAAGAGAUGUGUAAGCUAUAAAUAGCUUAGUAAGUUACAUGUAAACAAUAAUUACUCAUUUAAUAAUUAACACUUUUAACAUAUAACUAAUCAAAACAUUUCUUAGCAAUUUCAAUCACUUACACAUGCACAAUCUUACCAAUUCACUUGCAUAUACAUUUUCACACUUAACAUUUCAUAUUCACUUUAAUUCAUUAUUAAUCCCGUUGAACAGUUGGAAUAUACACGGAUACGUAGAGAUUUAGCACAUAAGUGCCACACUGAUAUGUAGCCGAAGCUACCACUGAUAUGUAGCCGAAGCUACCACUGAAAUGUAGCCGAAGCUACCACUGAUCAAUAACACUGGAAAUGUCCACGGGCCUGCUCACACAAGCUGUCAGGUGUCUGCAACACAUGCUAGAUCACCCAGCACCCGGGACUCACUGUAACACUGUAACACUGUAACACUGGUCUCUAGUGACAUGUCACUUGUAUCCAAUUCUAUUCCUAAGUUCAACCGGGAAUUUACACUUAACACUUUAUUACUUGAAUAAUUCAUGAACAAUUUUCCUUCCACAUUCAAUAUUAAUUCACAUAUCAAAUAUAAUUCACAAUUUAUACAAAUAUAACUAUUAUUUACAUAUAACUUACCUCGGAUGCAAAACGACUAUUUUUGUAAUUUAGUCGAUAACUUUCUCUUUUCCCCGAUCACUUGCACUAUUUCUUCUUUCUUGAUCUAUAUUAACACAAUUUAAUACAUUUUUAUCAACAUUUCAUUCAAAUACAAUUCAUACACAACAUUUUGGCAAAUUUACAUUUUUCCCCGAAACUUUUCAAAAAUUCCACUUUUGUCCCUAAGCUCGUAAAAAUAAAAUUCACUAAAUUUUUAAAUUUCAAACUUCACUAAAUCAUAUUUCAUGCUCAUAACAGCCCUCAAUUUCACAAAAUCACAACUUUAUGCACACUUUACCAUCUUUCACAAUUUAGCCCUUUUUCAACAUUUUCAUCAAAAUUCAUCUAGUAAAACUUGUAAUUAACACUUCAAACAUUCAUUAUCUAACAUCACUAAUCAAUUUACAAUUAUAUCAUGAAUGGGUAAAUUUUCAAACUUUAAUUUCAUUUAAAUUAAAUAGUAGAAACAUGAAAUUCAAGCUUCAAUAAGCAUAAAAAUACGAAAAUAAUUAAAAACGGGGCAAGAAAUCACUUACAAUUGAGCUUAGGAAGUUCAAGAACCCUAGCUAUGGUGACAUGAAUUUUUUUUGCAGCAAACGUCUGAUUUUAAGAAGAUGAACACUUGUUUUCAUCUUUAUUUUGUCUUUUAUUCAAUUUGGACAAAAAUGCCCUUGACCCAUUACUUAGAUAUUUUUCUAGAAAUACCCUUUUGUGUCCAUAACACUAAUUUAUGGUCUAAUUGCCACAUAAACACUUCCAAUUUCAUGCAAUAAUUCAAUUAAGUCAUUUAAUCACUAAUUAGACACACUUUGCAUUUUUUUCAAUUUAGUCCUAAAAAUUCAAUUAAGCACUAAAGCAUUAAAAUUUCCUAUCCAUAUUUUCACACAAUAUUUCAAUCAAUCAGUAACUAAUAAAAAUUUAUAAAAUUAAACUAUUUCACUUCGGAUUUGUGGUUACGAAACCACUAUUCCGAUUAGGCCCUAUUUCGGGCUAUCACAAUUCUCCCCCCUUAGGGAUUUUCGUCCCCGAAAAUCUUACCAGUGAAUAAGUUGGGAUACUGUUUCCUCAUAGCCUCCUCGGUUUCCCAUGUUGCCUCUUCCAUCCCAUGUCGUUGCCAUAACACUUUCACUAAAGCAAUUUCUUUGUUUCUCAACUGUUUCACUUCUCGUGCCAAGAUUCGAAUCGGUUCUUCUUCGUAUGUCAUAUCCGAUCGAAUUUCCACUUCAGUCGGUGAAAUCACAUGUGAUGGGUCCGAUCGAUAUCGCCUCAACAUAGAAACAUGAAACACAUUAUGAAUUCUUUCCAAUUCCGGGGGUAAAGACAAUCGAUAAGCCACUGGACCAAUUCUUUCUAUCACUUCAUACGGACCAAUAAAUCUUGGACUUAAUUUACCUUUACGGCCAAAUCUCAGAAUUUUCUUCCAUGGAGACACUUUCAGAAAUACUUUAUCACCCACUUGAAACUCAAUCUCUUUUCUUUUCAAAUCCGCAUACGACUUCUGUCGAUCCGAUGCAGCUUUCAAACAAUCACGGAUUAUCUUCACUUUUUCUUCAGUUUCUUUUACCAAAUCGACUCCAUGUAACUGAUUUUCAUUAAGUUCAGUCCAAUAUAAUGGAGUCCGACACUUUCGUCCAUACAACGCUUCAUAAGGUGCCAUUUUUAUGCUGGAUUGAUAACUAUUAUUAUAUGCAAACUCCACCAAAGGUAGAUAUCUUUCCCAAUUACCUUCAAAUUCCAAUACACAACAUCUCAACAUAUCUUCGAGCACUUGAAUUACUCUUUCAGACUGUCCAUCGGUUUGGGGGUGAAAUGCUGUACUAAAAUUCAAUUUAGUACCCAAUGCCUCUUGUAAUUUCUUCCACAACCUUGAAGUAAACCGUGGAUCUCUAUCAGAUAUAAUAGACGCAGGCACACCAUGUAAUCGAACUAUCUCAGCAAUAUACAAUUCAGCUAACUUGUCAAGUGAAAAACUCAUUCGCACAGGAAUGAAAUGAGCUGACUUAGUCAAUCGAUCAACUAUUACCCAAAUUGAGUCUUUCUUUUUCGGUGACAAUGGCAAUCCGGAAACAAAAUCCAUAGUAAUUCUAUCCCACUUCCACUCGGGCACCAUAAUGGGUUGAAGUAACCCUGAAGGUACUUGGUGUUCAGCUUUUACUUGUUGGCACACAAAACACUUUGUCACAUACUCAGAGAUAUCCCGUUUCAUACCCGGCCACCAAUAUAAUUUCUUUAAAUCAUUGUACAUUUUUACACUACCGGGGUGAACUGCCAACCGACUAUCAUGUGCUUCCUGCAAAAUUUUCUGAAUUAAAUCAACAUUUUUCGGAACACAUAUUCUGUCAUGAAACAUUAAACAUCCAUCUGAAUCAAUCCGAAAAUCAGAAUUAUCGCCCACUGCACACUGAGUCUUUUUUCUUUGUAAUUCAUUAUCCACUUUCUGAGCCUCAUAAAUUUCUUGAAGAAACAAUGGACUAGCUUUUAACUCUGCAAGCAAUGAUCCAUCUUCAGUCAAUGUUAAUCUUGUAUUCAAAGCUCUCAAAGCAAAGAGAGACUUUCUGCUCAAAGCAUCAGCAACUAUAUUGGCUUUUCCCGGAUGAUAAUCUAUUACAAGUUCAUAAUCUUUCAUCAAUUCCAACCAUCUUCGCUGCCGCAAAUUCAGAUCUUUUUGUGUCAUAACAUAUUUCAAACUUUUAUGAUCUGUAAAAACAUGACAUUUCUCACCAUAUAAAUAAUGACGCCAAAUCUUCAAAGCAAAGACAAUAGCAGCCAACUCUAAAUCAUGGGUAGGAUAAUUUCGUUCAUGCGGUUUCAAUUGUCGAGAAGCAUACGUUAUCACUUUUCCUUCUUGCAUCAAUACACAUCCAAGCCCAUUUAAUGACGCGUCACUAUAAACAACAAAUUCCUUUCCUGACUCAGGUUGCACUAACACUGGUGCCUCAGUUAAACACUUCUUUAAUUUCUCAAAACUUUGUUGACACUCCUCGGUCCAUUCGAACUUAACAUCUUUUUGCAACAAUUUUGUCAUCGGUGAAGCUAUCAUCGAAAAACCUUCUACAAAUCGACGAUAAUAUCCGGCUAAGCCCAGAAAACUCCUAACUUCAGAUACAUUUCUUGGAGGCUUCCAUUCAACUAUUGCCGAUAUCUUAUUCGGAUCCACUCGAAUGCCAUCUCCCGAGACAACAUGUCCCAAAAAUCCAACUUCACUAAGCCAAAAUUCACUUUUGCUAAAUUUAGCAAACAAUUUCUUUUCUCGCAGCGUUUGUAGCACAAUUCUUAAAUGUUCAGCAUGCUCGACUUCACUUCGGGAAUAAAUAAGAAUAUCAUCUAUAAACACCACAAUAAAUUUAUCCAAAUAGGGCCGGAAAAUUCGAUUCAUCAAAUCCAUAAAAAUAGCUGGAGCAUUAGUCAGACCAAAAGGCAUUACAAGAAACUCAUAGUGACCAUACCGGGUUCUGAAAGCAGUCUUUGGCACAUCUGACUCUUUAACCCUCAAUUGGUAAUAUCCGGAUCUCAAAUCAAUUUUGGAAAACACUGUGGCAUCCUUUAACUGAUCAAACAAGUCAUCUAUUCGGGGCAAUGGAUAUUUAUUCUUUACUGUCACUUUAUUAAGUUGACGAUAAUCAAUACACAAUCUCAAUGUCCCAUCCUUUUUCUUCACAAAUAGCACGGGAGCACCCCACGGAGAAUAACUUGGUCUGACGAAUCCUUUAUCCGUCAACUCUUGCAAUUGCACUUUUAAUUCUUUUAAUUCAGUUGGUGCCAUUCUGUAAGGAGCAAUCGAUAUUGGAGCAGUACCUGGCAUUACUUCAAUACCAAACUCUACUUCUCUAAUCGGAGGCAAACCUGGCAACUCUUCUGGGAACACAUCUAAAUAUUCACAUACCACUGCCACUGAUUCGAUCUUUGUUUCAGACACUUUUGUAUUCAACACAUAAGCAAGAUAUGCUUCACAACCAUUUUUCAAACAUUUCUGAGCAGACAUGGCAGAAAUCACAAUUGGCAUCACAUUUGACUUAUCUGUUUCAACCCGAAGAACUGUACCACUACUACACUUCAACUCAAGAAUUUUCUGACUGCAAUCUAUCUUGGCCUUAUGUAAUGUCAACCAAUCCAUUCCCAAAAUAACAUCAAAUUCAUCAAAUGGCAACAACAUCAAGUUGGCAGGGAAACACUGACCUUGUAUCAUCAAAGGACAAUUUUUGCAUAUUUUAUCAACUAUCACAUGCUUGCCUAAAGGAUUCGACACUUUAAUCACAUACUCAGUCAAUUCAACACACAAAUUCUUAUCAGACACUAAAUUCAUACAUACAUACGAGUGAGUAGAACCAGGAUCAAUCAAUGCAAGAACAUUAGUGUCGUAAAGAGAAAAUAUACCAGUGAUCACAUCGGGGGAAGACGCUUCCUCUCUAGCUCGGAUGGCAUAAGCUCUUGCUGGAGCUCCCACUUCAGAUCUUACAGUCGUGUCUUUUGUUACACCUUUACCACUAGUUCCAGUCCCCACAUUUCUCGAUGGUCUUCCUCUAGUAGUCACACUGCUCGAUCUCACAUUCUGAAAUUUUUCUAUCUCUUCUCUUUCUGGACAAUCUUUCACAAAAUGAUCUUGAGAUCCACAUUUAAAACAUGCUCGACUGAUUAGAUAACAUUCCCCGAAAUGUCGUUUUCCACAAUGUUGACAUUCCGGUCUAGUAGGUUUAACACUACCUACACUUGCCAUAGAAGUCGCCUGAGCUUUAGAACUUGAAUAUUGUCUUCCUCGAUCUCUUUGAAAAUUUACACUAGAAACAUUCGAUCGACUAUUCAUUUCUUUAAACUUCUUCGCUUGAGACUGAAAUGGCUUGCCCAUUGAUCUUUUUCUUGCAUCUCUAACUUCACUUUCCACCUUUCUUUUCUCUUUGCUCAAUUCUUCAGCCUUGAUAGCUCUUUCAACUAGUACCACUAGCUCUUUAAUUUCAAGAAUUCCCACUAGCAAUCGGAUAUCCUCGUUUAAUCCAUCUUCAAACCUUUUGCACAAUGUAGCUUCAUUAGAUACACACUCUUGGGCAUACUUGCUUAAUUUGACAAAUUCUCGUUCAUAUUCGGCUACCGUCAUGCGCCCUUGUUUCAAUUCAAGAAACUCUUUUCUCUUUUGAUCAAUGAAACGCUGACUCACAUACUUCUUUCGGAAUUCUUCUUGAAAGAAAUCCCAUGUAACUUUCUCUUUAGGCACCACUGACACUAAAGUUUUCCACCAAUUAUAAGCUGAAUCCCUCAACAAUGAGAUAGCACAUUUGAGACUCUCUUCUGGAGUACAAGAUAAUUCAUCCAACACUCUGAUGGUAUUAUCAAGCCAGAACUCUGCUCUUUCAGGAUCAUCAUUUACAUUAGCUCGGAACUCUUCGGCUCCAUCCUUUCGAAUUUUGUCCACUGGAGGCUUUGACAAUCUUAACACUUCAGUUUGUUGAGGAGCUAUGGGAACAGCUUGAGGAAUAGGAGGGGGCGGAGGAGGUUGAGCAUUAGGAUUAGUUCUAACAAACUCAGUGUACCAAUUGUUCAUCAUUUGGAGAAAAGCUUCUCGAGCCUCAUCUCCUUGACCCUGAGUCUCAAAUCGACUUUCAACAGGCACAUUACUUUGAGCAUCAUCAGCUGUAUCUCGGUUAGAAUCCAUUACUAUAAAAAAAAACAUUUUAAGAUGUCAGGAGUCGUCACACUAUCAUUAUUCAAUUAUGGCAUGUAUAGAUAGUCUAUUACACUCGCUACGUUAGUCCGAGAAUCGACUAAACCGUAGCUCUGAUACCACUAAAUGUAACACCCCUUACCCGAGACCGUCACCGGAAUCUAGUACGAGAUGUUAUCCAAUUUAACUUACCAAUUCGGAGCAUAAAAAAAUUGCUUUUAAAAUUAAAUUCACUGUUCACAACAAAACUGUCUACCUGCGUGACUUUCACUAAUUUAAUUAUAACUCGAGUUACAGAACUCAAAAUUUAAAUCCGUAAAUUUUUCCUGAAACUAGACUCAUAUUAAUACUUACCAUAAAAUUUUCAGAAUUUUUGACUUGGCCAAUUAGUACAGUUUAUUCAUUAAAGUAUCCCCUGUUUCACAACUCGACAGAUCUGACCUCUCGGCACUAAAAAUCAAUUAUCUCUUUGUACAGAAUACAUAUAAGGUUAUCGUUUUUUUCUUUUGAAAAUAGACUAACUAAGAAAUCUACACAUAUAAAUUAUGACCCAUAAUUCUUUCUGUACAAUUUAUAAUGAUUUUCUAAAGUCAGAACAGGGGACUUCAAAAACCAUUCUGACCCUGUCUCACUAAAAUUCAAAUAUCUCAAAAUACAGAAUUCCUUUUCCUACAUCGUUUCUUUCAUAUAAAAAUAGACUUGAUAAGAUUUAAUUCCAUAUAUAAUUCACUCUCUAAUUCCAUUUCUACUAUUUAUGGUGAAUUUUUACAUUCACGUCACUGCUGCUGUCAAAGAAACUGCUUCUUUGAAUUAGUUACCAUUUACACAUACAUAAUACCAAAACAUAAUCUUUACUAACCAUUUCAAUAGCUAAUCUUAGCCAUAUCAUUUGAACAUGCUCAAAAUGAUUAAGACUCUAUACAUGCCAUAGUUCAAACAUUUUGAAAAGCACAUAAUACCGAGAUGGCUAUGAUAGUGUGAUACGAGCUCCGACGGUCCACUAUUCGAUCAAGUUCAAAUCACUAUAAAACAAAGGAAAGAAAGAGAUGUGUAAGCUAUAAAUAGCUUAGUAAGUUACAUGUAAACAAUAAUUACUCAUUUAAUAAUUAACACUUUUAACAUAUAACUAAUCAAAACAUUUCUUAGCAAUUUCAAUCACUUACACAUGCACAAUCUUACCAAUUCACUUGCAUAUACAUUUUCACACUUAACAUUUCAUAUUCACUUUAAUUCAUUAUUAAUCCCGUUGAACAGUUGGAAUAUACACGGAUACGUAGAGAUUUAGCACAUAAGUGCCACACUGAUAUGUAGCCGAAGCUACCACUGAUAUGUAGCCGAAGCUACCACUGAAAUGUAGCCGAAGCUACCACUGAUCAAUAACACUGGAAAUGUCCACGGGCCUGCUCACACAAGCUGUCAGGUGUCUGCAACACAUGCUAGAUCACCCAGCACCCGGGACUCACUGUAACACUGUAACACUGUAACACUGGUCUCUAGUGACAUGUCACUUGUAUCCAAUUCUAUUCCUAAGUUCAACCGGGAAUUUACACUUAACACUUUAUUACUUGAAUAAUUCAUGAACAAUUUUCCUUCCACAUUCAAUAUUAAUUCACAUAUCAAAUAUAAUUCACAAUUUAUACAAAUAUAACUAUUAUUUACAUAUAACUUACCUCGGAUGCAAAACGACUAUUUUUGUAAUUUAGUCGAUAACUUUCUCUUUUCCCCGAUCACUUGCACUAUUUCUUCUUUCUUGAUCUAUAUUAACACAAUUUAAUACAUUUUUAUCAACAUUUCAUUCAAAUACAAUUCAUACACAACAUUUUGGCAAAUUUACAUUUUUCCCCGAAACUUUUCAAAAAUUCCACUUUUGUCCCUAAGCUCGUAAAAAUAAAAUUCACUAAAUUUUUAAAUUUCAAACUUCACUAAAUCAUAUUUCAUGCUCAUAACAGCCCUCAAUUUCACAAAAUCACAACUUUAUGCACACUUUACCAUCUUUCACAAUUUAGCCCUUUUUCAACAUUUUCAUCAAAAUUCAUCUAGUAAAACUUGUAAUUAACACUUCAAACAUUCAUUAUCUAACAUCACUAAUCAAUUUACAAUUAUAUCAUGAAUGGGUAAAUUUUCAAACUUUAAUUUCAUUUAAAUUAAAUAGUAGAAACAUGAAAUUCAAGCUUCAAUAAGCAUAAAAAUACGAAAAUAAUUAAAAACGGGGCAAGAAAUCACUUACAAUUGAGCUUAGGAAGUUCAAGAACCCUAGCUAUGGUGACAUGAAUUUUUUUUGCAGCAAACGUCUGAUUUUAAGAAGAUGAACACUUGUUUUCAUCUUUAUUUUGUCUUUUAUUCAAUUUGGACAAAAAUGCCCUUGACCCAUUACUUAGAUAUUUUUCUAGAAAUACCCUUUUGUGUCCAUAACACUAAUUUAUGGUCUAAUUGCCACAUAAACACUUCCAAUUUCAUGCAAUAAUUCAAUUAAGUCAUUUAAUCACUAAUUAGACACACUUUGCAUUUUUUUCAAUUUAGUCCUAAAAAUUCAAUUAAACACUAAAGCAUUAAAAUUUCCUAUCCAUAUUUUCACACAAUAUUUCAAUCAAUCAGUAACUAAUAAAAAUUUAUAAAAUUAAACUAUUUCACUUCGGAUUUGUGGUUACGAAACCACUAUUCCGAUUAGGCCCUAUUUCGGGCUAUCACAAACAAAUCCUACUUUACAAGGAGUCAGUGGAAAUUGUGAGCUUAGGAGAGGGAAAAGACGUGAAGAUUGGAGCCUGUAUCGCCACAGAGACAAAGCGCGACCUCAUUGAGUUACUACAAGAAUUUAAGGAUGUCUUCGAUGGUCAUAUCAAGAUAUGCCCGGGUUGGAUACUGAUAUCGUGGUACACCGACUCUCCAUAAAGGAAGAGUCCAAGUCAGUUCAACAGAAACUCCGAAGGAUGAGACCCGAUGUUCUGUUGAAGAUAAAAGAAGAGGUCAAGAAGUAAUUCGAUGUCAGUUUUUUACAAGUGGUUAAGUACUUAGAAUGGGUAGCCAAUAUAGCCCCCGUUCUUAAGAAAGACAGAAAAGUACGAAUGUGUGUAGACUAUCGGGAUUUGAACAAAACAAGCCCAAAAGACAAUUUUCUAUUUCCUCACAUUGAUACAUUAGUGGAUAACACAGCAGGUUACUCACUUUUCUCCUUUAUGGAUGGCUUCUCGAGAUACAACUAGAUAAAGAUGUAUCCUGAAGAUAUGGAAAAGACCACAUUCGUGACCAUGUAGGGAACGUUUUGUUAUAAGGUGAUGCCAUUCAGACUGAAAAACGCAGAAGCAACAUAUCAGAGAGCCAUGGUAACUCUGUUCCACGAUAUGAUGCACAAGGAGAUCGAAGUUUACGUCGACGAUAUGAUUGCGAAAUCCAGAACAGAAAAGGAACACGUACAAGUCUUAAAGAAACUGUUCUUAAGAUUAAGAAAGUUUCAGCUAAAGCUCAAUGCCGCAAAAUGUACCUUCGGGGCUAGGUCAAGAAAGUUGUUAGGAUUCAUAGUUAGUGAAAAGGAGAUUGAGAUUGACCCAGAUAAAGUCAAGGCCAUAAAAUAAUUACCUCCACCACACACUCAAAAAGAAGUUCGAGGUUUCUUAGGAAGACUAAAUUACAUCGCCCGGUUCAUUUCGCAAUUAACGGAGAAAUCUGACCCGAUAUUCCGUCUCCUUAGGAAACACAACCCAGGUGUAUAGGAUGAGGAGUGCCAGAAAACUUUUGAUAAGGUCAAACAUUACUUGUCCAAUGCCCUAGAGCUGAUGCCACAUUGCCUAGAUAAGCCACUGAUACUGUAUUUGGUAGUGUUCGAAAACUUCAUGGGAUGCGUGUUAGGCCAACAUGAUGAGUCAGGGAGAAAAAAAAAGCGAUAUACUAUCUUAGUAAGAAAUUCACUGAAUGUGAGACAAGAUAUUCAUUGAUCGAAAAAUUAUGUUGUGCUUUGAUUUGGAUAACCUUAAGAUUGAGACAGUACAUACUGUACCACACAACUUGGCUCAUCUCAAAGCUAGACCCUUUAAAGUACAUGAUGGAGUCAAAUGCUUUGAACGGAAGAAUGGCUCGUUGAAAAAAUUUUCUUUCUGAGUUUGACAUAGUCUACGUGAACCAAAAAGCUAUAAAAGGAAGUGCGAUAUUAGAUUUUUUGGCCAGUAGGGGUCUAGAAGAUUAUGAGCCUUUGAGCUUUGAUUUCCCAAAUAAAGAUCUAAUAUAUGUUGCAACGGCUGAAGAAGACUCUCAAGAAAAUCAUCCUUGGAGAUUGUAUUUUGAUGGAGCCUCGAAUGCUGUGGGUAACAGAAUCGGGGCAGUUCUGGUAUCCUCAAAUGGAGAUCAUUAUCCCUUUACUAGUAAAUUGGAUUUUGAUUGCACCAAUAACAUGGUGGAGUAUGAAGCGUGUAUCAUGGGUAUCCGUGCGGCCAUUAAACGCAAAAUUAAGGUGCUAGAAGUAUAUGAGGAUUCUGCAUUAGUGAUCUAUCAGCUCAAAAGCAAAUGUGAGACAAGAGACCCUAAGUUGAUCAAUUACCAAAGGCUGGUUCUUGAGCUAAUUGAGGAGUUUGUCGAUAUCACUUUCUACUACCUCCCACGAGAGGAAAACCAGAUGGCUGACGCCUUGGCAACUUUAGCUUCUGUGAUCAAAGUAAACAAGUAAGAGGAUAUGAAGUCUAUCUAGAUGAGUAUCUAUGAGACUCCGGCUCAUUAUUACAACAUCGAAGAAGAAGAAGAAAAAAAGGACGAUCACCCUUGGUAUCAAAUUAUAUUGUGAUAUGUAAGGAAUUGUGAAUACCUAGACCAAGCAACAGAGAAUGUUAAAAGGAAAUUGAAAAGGCUAUCCAGUGACUAUAUAUUGGAUGGAGAGAUCCUAUAUAAAAGAAGGAAGGAUCAGGUGCUCUUAAGAUGUGUGGACACUGUCGAGGCUAAGCAAAUCUUAGAAGAGGUCCAUGAGGGUGUUUGCGGAACACACGCUAACGGUUUCACAAUGGCCAGAAAAAUCAUGAGAUUCAGAUAUUAUUGGUCCACUAUGGAGGGGGAUUGCAUCAACUAUGCCAAGAAGUGUCAUAAAUGCCAAAUUUAUGGAGAUAAGAUUCAUGUACCGCCUUCAUUUCUUCAUGUCAUGACUUUUCCAUGGCCUUUUUCUAUGUGAAGCAUGGAUGUCAUUGGGUCGAUCUCGCCGAAAGCAUCUAGCGGGCACCAAUUCAUCUUUGUGGUCAUUGAUUACUUUACCAAGUGGGUAGAGGCUACUUCUUACGCCAACGUCACGAAAUCGGCAGUUAGCAAGUUCUUAAAAAAGAAGAUCAUAUAUCGAUAUAGGAUGCCUGAGAGGAUCAUAUCAGACAAUGCACUGAACUUGAAAAACAGCAUGAUAGCGAAGGUCUGUAGCCAAUUCAAGAUCAAACAUCAUAACUCGUCACCAUAUUGCCCAAAAAUGAAUGGUGCAGUGGAAUUGGCCAAUAAGAACAUCAAGAAGAUCGUGGGAAAAAUGACAGAGACUUAUAAAGAUUGGCAUGAGAAAUUACCAUUCGCCUUCUACGCCUACCGAACGUCAAUCAGAACCUCUACCAGGGGAACACUUUUCUCUUUCGUUUAUGGAAUGGAGGCAGUCCUACCUAUUGAGGUUGAAAUUUCUUCUCUACGAGUGUUUGUAGAACUAAAGUUAGAUGAAGCGGAAUGGAUCCAGUCACGGUACAAUUAGUUGAACUUAAUUGAAGAAAAGAGGCUGAAAGCUAUUCGCCAUGGUCAAAUGUACUAAGAGCGAAUGAUGCAGGCUUAUAACAAGAAAGUUCGCCCUAGAGAAUUCUAUGAAGGAGACAUUAUUUUGAAAAAGAUCCUCCCCAUACAAAAGGACUUCAGAGGAAAAAGGAUGCCAAAUUGGGAGGGACCUUAUGCGGUGAAGAAAGCUUUCUCUGGAGGAGCUCUGAUCUUGACUGAGAUGGAUGGAAAAAGCUUGCCUAAUCCCAUGAAUUCGGAUUCGAUCAAGAGGUACUUUACCUAAAAAAAAAAAGAGGCCAAGGCGAAAAACCGUGAAAGGGCGCUUUGAGACCAGAGGAGUUUUAAGUUGAAAACCCAAGAAUAGACAAUUCAAAUUUUGAUCGAAGAUAGAGCCUGUGUAAUCUUGUCUUCUCUAAAUUAAUAAGAAUGAGGGACACUACAUAUUCGGACAUCAACAAAGUACUCUUGGUCUUCUAAACACAUAUUAAGUUCAAAGGGUCCUCAAGAAGUUCUGUGUAGAGAAGCUCAUGCUACGAUAUAUGGGGUAUCCAUUUUCAUUUCAUUCAUUUUGUAUCUUAGCAAAAUUUUCUAUGUUGAUUACCUUAUUAAUUUCGAGCUUUUGCUAUCAAUAAAGUUCCAUCUUGUCCAUUGCGAUAAUCUUGUUCAAGCGUUUUUUUAUUGAAAUGAUGAUAAAUGGACUAAUGAUAUUCAAAAAAGGAGUUCUGCAUAUUACUCUGAAACACUUCUAAAUAGUGCAAAGACUUGAAACGGGACCAAUUAGUUAAAACAAACCCAAAUUCAAAGGUUGGAAAUGUCAGAAAAAAUAGUCCCAAAUUGUGUUUAUUCUUCGGGUUUUCUGCCAGGGAUACCAACUGAAGAAAAAGACCGAAUAAUACGUCAUUGAUAAAGCCCUGAUGAACAACAAGCAAUGAUACCUUAAGCCUUUUAAAAAGGAUCAUUUUCAUUUCUACAUUCAUAUAUCAUUCAUAACACAUCUAGUUAGAAGCAUUUGAUUCAUAGCAUCCUAAUUAUUUGGCAUAAGCAUAGAUACAUGAAACCGAUUCUACAGAUCAUGUCUCUAGAGGACAGUGUAGCAACAUCGGUGAAUUCACAACCUUAUCUCUCUGAGGUAGUAAGAGAACAGGUUGAAGAUUGAAGUCUUAUCUUUCUGGGGUAGUAAGGAAGCAGACUGAGGGUUGAAGAUCUUAUCUCCAUGAGGGAGCAAUGGAGCAGAUCGAAGAUGGUGAAUCUUAUCUUCCCGAGGUAGCAGGGGAGUAGAUUUUAGUCAUAGCCUUAUCUCUCUGAGGUAGCAAGAGAGCAGGUUGAAGAUUGAAGUCUUAUCUUCCUGAGGUAGCAAAAAAGCAGACUAAGGAUUGAAGAUCUUAUCUCCCUAAACAGUAGUAGAGCAGAUCAAAGAUGGCGAAUCUUAUCUUCUCGAGGUAGCAGAGGAGCAGAUUUUAGCCACCAGCCUUAUCUCUCUGAGGUAGCGAGAGAGCAGGUUGAAGAUUGUAGUCUUAUCUUCCUGAGAUAGUAAGGAAGCAGACUGAAUAUUAUAGAUCUUAUCUCCAUUAGGUAGCAAUAGAGCAAAUCGAAGAUGGCGAAUCUUAUCUCCUUGAGGUAGCAAGGGAGCAGAUUUAAGCCACUAGCCUUGUCUUCCUGAGCAGCAAUAGAGCAAGCUGAAGAUUGUAGAUAUUAUCUCCAUGAGGUAGCAAUGUAGCAGAUCGAAGACGGUGAAUCUUAUCUUCCUGAAGUAGCAAGGGAGCAGAUCUAAGCCAUCAGCCUCAUCUCUCUGAGGUAGCAAAGGAGCAGGCUGAAGAUUGUAGUUUUAUCUUCCUGAGGUAGUAAAGGGGCAGACUAAAGGUUGUAGAUCUUAUUUCCAUGACGUAGUAAUGGAGCAGAUCGAAGAUGAAAAAUCUUAUCUCCUUAAACAGUAGCGGAGUAGAUUUAAGCCACAAUCCUAUCUCCCUAAGUAGUAGUGGAGCAGGUUAAAGUUACGAGUCCUAUCUCCUUGAAGUUGCAGUGGAGCGGAUCGAAGCAACAAGAUGCAGUGGAACAGAUUGAGGCUAUAAAUAAACAUAUCUUAUUUAAUUUUUACCCAUCUUUUUCUACAUUGCCUGCUUGGUUUUACUUCUUUAUUUCUAUUCUUAUUAUUGUCAUUUACAUUACAUAUUUAUUAUUAUCUCGCUAUGCUUGUUAAUAUCGUAAUUUUUUUUUAUAAAUUUAUGUUAUAUUAAACUUUACCUGACAAAAAUAAUUCUUUCAAAAAAGUAAUAUUCCGUAUUUAGGAAUUCAAGAAAAUCGUGCCCUAACUUACUGGGUUUCGGUUUUUCUCAUUUAACCUAAAUUACAGAAUAUUCUUUUAAAAUCAUAAUACGAUUUUUGAAUAAAAUGUUUAUUCUCGGAGAUACGAGGUGUUGUGCCCUAACUUACUGGAUACGACAUCUUGUUACCUCGAGAUAAGAUUUUUUGCAAAUAAAGGCAAUAUUCGGUGUUUAAGAAUUCGAGAAAACAUGCCCUAACUUACUGGGUUUCAAUUUUUCUCGUUUACCCUAAAUAACCGAAUAUCCUUUUAAAAAAUGGGUUAAAAUACAUGAAUUUUAAAUAAAAGGCAAGCUCAUUCUUGAAGGCUCAAGAUGUCGUGUCCUAACUUACUGGAUGUGAUAUUUUAUUACUUCGAGAUGAGAAGUCUUUAACAUCCGAUUCAAAUUAUUCAAUCAUUUUUUAAUUAACGUUAAUACAAAGAGGGAUCGUAUUUUAAAUUCUUUCAAGUUUUCAAAUCUUUGACACUAAGACACUGAUUAAUCAACUAGGUACCAAUUUUGGGUGUAUCGAGGGUGCUAACCCUUCUUUGUGCGUAACCGACUCCCGAACCUGUCUUUCUGAUUUUCGUAGACCAUAAUCGUUGUUUUGAUAAAUCAAACUGAUUAUUAAAAACAACCACUUUUCGAGGUGACCUGAUCACACCUUAGCAAAAAGGAUUGGUGGCGACUUCCGUUUUUUCAUUUUCAUUUUUUAAAAUCCAAGUCGACCGUCGUUUUUCAAAAAAAUGGUUUCGACAAUGAUAAGUUGAAAAAUAUGAGGAAUCUCUUAGAACUAUCAUGUUGGUUAUCCCUUUACUUAUCUAAAAUUUGAGAUAAUUUUAAAAUUUUAAUCCUACUUUUUUUUCAAUUUAAAAAUUCUAAUCAUAAUUAUUAUCAUAGUUUGUAAUUUCUGUCAAAAUUUGUCAACUUAAUAUGUUUAUUUUUUGUCAAUCAUAUGCAGUGUCAUAUGAGGAUAGUUUAAUUGACAUACCAAGUUAGCACAUUUUGAUGGAAAAUACUAAUAACAUUAAUGACUAAACUGAAAUUUUUAAAUAAAAAAUUUAAGAAAAUUUAAUUUUCAUAUUUUUAAGAACAAAGAUUAAAUUUCAAAUUUUGUCUGAGUACAGAGAUGGACGUAUUUUAACAGACUAGAAAUUGGAACACUUCAAACACAUAAUAACUAAAACUUAUAGUGACCUAACUUGAAAACGUAAACCUAAAAUACAAAUGACCCCAAAAAAUAUUCGAAAAUUUUAAAAUUCUACUCAACUCGACUCAAGAUUUAUGGAAACCAAAUGUAUACAGUAGCCAACAAAUUGUAAACCUUUGCUGCUUUGGACUGCCUUCAUCAGUUCAACCAUGACACUGAAAUAACUAAAGUUAUAAAAAGAAGAGCAAAAUAUUGAGAGUUAAAACCAACAAAAAAGAUUUUUUAUUUCCAAUUUAUAAAAAAGAUUAAGAGAUGGUAAUAUUUUUAUUUUUAGAUAAUCUUAAAAAUGAAUUUUUAAAUAUCUAUGAUAAAUGAGAUGGUUGUUUUUAAAUUCAAAAAGAGAAUGAAUGUACGUUGUGGUGGUUUGCAAAAUAAUACAAUAUUAAGUAAACAAUGACAAAAACCAACAAAAUCAGUGGACGUGCCGGAGUGGUUAUCGGGCAUGACUAGAAAUCAUGUGGGCUCUGCCCGCGCAGGUUCGAAUCCUGCCGUUCACGCUUUUGCACUGUAUUUUUAUUUUCUUCGUCCUGAAGUCAUUUUCCAUCUCCUUCUUUAUCAGUCCUCCUCCUUCUUCAUCAGUCCAUCUCAUUCUUCUUCAUUCCUUCUCCUUCUUUUGUUCUUCAUCUUCUUACCCUCGCAUAUCUUCUCGUCUCAGGCUGCUGUUUCGUUUGCUCUCUUCUUUCUCAGGAAAGUCGAGGUUCCACUUCGCUGGGUCUUUCUCAGGGAAACGAGAAACCCCAAGUUCCAUGAGUAGCGAAUCCCUCCACCGUCGCUGUAAAUUGAAAAGCCAACCUCUACCCUUCCUCUUUUGUCACAUACGAGAAAUCUAAGUCUGUCUGUACAAUCCCUCACCACACCAUUAUUAUAUCCCCUCUGCAAAUCUUUUGUUUUAUUAGACCAAAUAGAUCGCAAAGGAGUUAAGAAAUGGGGGCUGGGCGAGAAGUAGCAAUAUUACUUGAUGGAGUGAGGGACAAGAACGUGAUGCACCUGAAGAAGCUCAACACAGCUCUCUUCCCUGUUCGUUACAACGAUAAGUACUACGCCGAUGCUCUCGCUUCUGGCGAAUUCACCAAGCUUG